rnacentral:lncRNA from 1 species
CAGCCGGUAACAGGAAUAUCCUGCUUAAAUUCCCUUCAAAUGCAGCACAUAGUAAAAAAUGUCUAUUAUUAAUGGAAAAGAUAAGCAAGAGAUCUGCCUCUUUUAAUUGAGUGCAAAUGUUGAGCGAAGAAACAAGCUUACUUUGCUGAAAUGGUGUUCAAAAAAUGCAGCACUAAAAAUAGGGCCUGUCAGACAACCUGUUGGCCACCCCAGCCAAGCAAGCCUGACCAGGAACGAUCCUCUACAGCACCAGACACAGCAUCAAGCAAGAUCUUGGCCGUUAAUCACGCUCUGGCCCACAGGUCAUGACUCAUCAACCAGGCUUAAGUGCUUGCCUCCUUAUUAGUCAAGGAUGCAGCGGUACGAUCCUAUAGAACAGAUCCUGUUCAAGUAAGGUCGUGCUGUGGGGCUCGAGAACUGAACUUUUAAGCUAGCUUCAACUCAUGUGAGCAACCGAGGUGGUACUACUGGGUGGGAAUGGGCAGCAUGUUGUGUACUGGGCCUGGCCAUCAAACCCAUCGAGGCUGCGAUAGCUUGGCCAAGUGUUGAUGCCUCACCUGAAUGAAAAAAGAAAAGAAAAGAAAGAUAUGAUAAGCUCACAGCUGGUCCCUAGAUGGUUGCAGUUCUCACUUCACAUAGCUCAGUCUUUGGCCCAUGUGCAAUGCUUGCUGGAUGCUGCUGCCCCAUGGUUGCCAUUGAUCUUGACACUUGACAGCAUGGUUGGCCUGCAGAUCUGUCAUGAUGCUCAGCUUAGGGAAAUCGUGAUACAAGCUCGAAAGCAUUUGGGUAAUGCUGGUUUGCUAAACUAUUAGUAAGUACACACUGCACUCACCUUUUAGUGAAGACCCGAGGCAGAGGGAAAUGGCAAAAUUACAAUUGGUAAGGAAGCUGAUGCCCAUGCCCAUACCCAUACCCACGCCAAUGUGGCAAUGUCUGCAUUUUUGUUUUUUUCGUGAGAGACAGUGCCAAUGAUCUACCUGAAAAUUGAAUACCUGAUACAUGCGGUUUUCGAGAAAGAAAAAAAAACCCUGAUACAUGCAUCCUUAGCCCAAGUAUAGAGAAUCUACUGAGGUUGCCUUUGGCGUAGCCCAAGUAUGGAAUCAGCAACCGGUGCCAUCCUUAGAUGCUCAUCACUCAUUAGUAGGCCCAUUAACAAGUCCAGGGCUCCAGGAAGGCCAAGGCUAGUCCAACCAAAAAAAAACAAGGGCAGAUGCAUUGCAACGCGUGUUUCUUGUGCGGUUGCCAUUCCUUGUCGCCUCUGAACGUGCGGCCUUCUCGUAUCUGCCAACUGACCCCUGCCUCCCUGGUACGGCAUUUUUUAGUACGCGAAAAAGAGGGACAACAAUGUCGUCUGUCCCUCCAAGAACGACUGACGCCUCGAGGCAUCCGCCCCGCCCGCCUACGCUGACAGGCCAAACCGACCGAACGGACCCCGCGUCCGCGUGGUGCUGGGCAAACACUCCACAGAAGCUCCACGCCGCCGGUCCCUAUGAAACGACUACUCCCUCUCCCUCAGCAGCAAAAAGAAACGAGAACGAAAGGUCCACCUGAUUGUUAUUCACGUGCUCCGUACAGCGGCCAUUGGUCGUGCGUGGAGGAUGAUGAGGAGACGGCAGACCGAAGGCACGAGUGGCGUUGGCGCACCUAAACCAGACAGCGACGUGGUUAAUUCGCCCGGGUGGGCGACGGUCAUCGGGCGCCAUUUAUUGCCGUGGCUGGAUCCCGUUCUCGUUCCGUCCCUGCCACGGGUGCGGAAAGCUUCUGCUCCUGUGCCGCCCGCAAGCGUCUGCCGAGACGCUCUCGGCUCUCGAGUUCGCGUCUGCAUGCGCCCGCAGCUCUCCUCCUCUGGUUAUUAACUCCCGUCGCCGUCCCCGACGAUCCCCAUCACCCUCAUCAAUGCGGUUGCGGAGGUGAAGGAAUAUCGCUCAUCAUCAAUCGCGUCGCGCCACUCGGACGGAGAUAGCCGGGCGCGCGUCGCGUCGUAUCGGGGGAGCGAGUAGGCGGGAGAGCGAGCGGGGGCCGACGACUAUCCGAGCCCACGGCGACACGCGCGAGCGAGAGCGACAGGGGCAGGGAUUAAGGAAUACUAAUUCCGAUCGGUUUUCCUGCUCCGCGACCGUCGGUUCUGAGUUCUCCUUGUCCAGCCAAAAACUAGCGAAGAAAACACCACCGGGCCAGGACGACCCAGAGGGAGGGCGGUCGCUCGCUCUCUUGCUGCCGCGCGCCGCUGUUCAGACUUUGAGACGUCGUCGUCGUCAUCACAGAGCUAGCUGAGAGCAAGCUCUGCCGCGCUCUCUGCUCUGUGCAUGCCGCGUGCGUAGCGUAGUACGUGCGCGCGCGCGUCACACGAGUGGCCUCGAUCUGCAUGGAGAAUGGAGAGAUAGAUAGCGCGCCGGCUGACCCACGCCCCCACACGUACGUACAGCGCAAGCGUACAAGCUAGGCGAGCCGAACCAUGCAUCACACACACACGCAGGCCACGGCAUGGACUGGACCGGCGAAAACUGGGACGAGGUCACGAGCCAGAUGCAUGAGCGAUCCGAUGCAGUGCGGCGCGCGGCCCGCGCGCGAUAUCAUAUCAUGCUGCUACGUACGUACGUAUGGGAGAGGGAGACGACGACGGCCGGGCAGCACGUACUAUAGAUCGUCACGUAUAUAGGUGCGCGGUGCGCGCGCGCGCGCACGCACAAUAAAUUGCGGUGCGACCCGGCGGACUCCUGUGCGCUGCAAAUCUCGUCACCCAUAAAUGCCGUUGCAUGCCGGUGCAGGGGGAAGCUCCCGCCGGCCCUGAUCUGACGUCCCCCGGCCCGGCCGGCCUCUGACCUCGGCACGGGGGCAGCAGCAAACUUCCCACACGUUUUUGACGAAAAAGUUUUCAAGAUUCCUCGUUACAUCGAAUCUUGUGGCACAUACAUAAAACAUUAAAUAUAGACGAAAACAAAAACUAAUUACACAGUUUAGCUGUAAAUCACGAGACGAAUCUUUUGAUCCUAGUUAAUCAAUAAUUAGAUAAUAUUUGUCACAAACAAACGAAAAUGCUACAGUACCGAAAGUUUUCACUUAGGACGAGUACCGCGCGCGUGACACGGAAAUGAACCGCGUGCCUGCAUCCAGCGGCACACAAACACUUGGACAGCGGUCCAAGGCCUCCAACAUACGUGGAGGGUGUAGUGCAUGUUCGGUUGUUCCUCUCUAGGGCACUGUUCGAUGUGGGCUAAUUCUUAGGCGGGGCGGAAGAACAGCUAUCUCUAAAAUUAGUCAGCUAUAUGCUGCAUGGGUAUAUCACAUUGAUUAUUUAUAAUAUAUAAAUUAUCCAUAGGGUAAUCAACUUAAGGUAUAGGAUCAUUGUAGACUAGUUGAUUGAUUAUAAUAACCCAGGGCAUAAUUUAGCAUAUUUGGAUCAUAUUCAAAUUAUUUUAGAUGAAUUAUUAAACAUGGAUCCAAGCAGGCCCUAAGUAUUAUCCAUUUGGAUCCCAGACUCAUAAAUCCAUGUUUGGAUACCCUCUUAUUAUCAUAAUAAUUGAAUUUAUAAUCAAAUUUGAGCGAAAUUAUAUGAUGAUUAUCAAAAUCAAAACGUCUGAUUAUCAUAACCAGAUAAUCCAGGUGAUACUAGAUUUAGGGGAUUAUGGGUUCUGAAAGUAUAACUUAACCCCUAAUCCAUUGUUCUAACUUGCCAAACAAAAGGAUAAGAUAGGAAUUUAUUACUUUAACCAACCAUAAUCAAUCAUCGUAAUUUAGAGAGCCAAACACUCUGAUUAUUACAAUCCAUAAUUCUGAUUACUAUAAUAAUUAUAUGCAUAAUAUAGAUUACAAUAAUUCAGUUGUGAUCCAACCGACCCUAAGGUCCUUAUUAAAAAAAACAUACCAUUGUCAACUAGUGUACUUGUCUAAGAGCAUCUCCAACCAUUUUGUUUGAACCCACACACGCUAAAUCCUCAUUCAGACAGCCAUUAUAAUAAAAUACAUUCUUUAUAUCUCUACACUGUUCAAUAACUUCUAUAUAUCUUUUCCGGCACUUUGGAGACCAAAGCUCCUCCCUCUAUCUCUGGUGAGCAGAAAUCAGGAAUAGUGGAUGGCAAUAUUUGGUAAUCUAGUGGAACAAAUUGUUGCAAGAGAUUUUUCUUAUCAUAAUCUCCAUUCCUAUCCAUAGGGAAGAAUAUAAAGAGACUUUUGAGUUGCUCUAACAAACUAGAAAGGGUUUGACUAGAAAAUAACUCAUCCAUUGAUUAAAGUUAAUUUUCACUUGGCCCAUGGAGCCCAACUGGCCCACCGGCCUAGUAUAGUUCUAGAAUCAUGCACUAUUUCCAGAACCCCUGCAUUUUAAGGAGGUUUAAAUUAAAAGUGUCAAAUUAAACCGUGGACAUGUACAUGAUCUGUGCUGCAACGAAUUAUUUUAAUUUGUUUGUUCCGUGGGAGUUGCAGAUGCUGGUGGGUGGUGGUGGCUGCUACCUGAAGAACGUACCAUUGAAGCAUGCGCAUAUAUAUCACACAGUUGACACGUUAAUGAGAGAUAGCGUUGCUUCAUCUAAACCGAUUAGCUCCCUUUGUACCGCCCAGAGCCCAUCAAGACUCACGAGGCUUUCUCGUCGCGUUUUUUUGAUUUUCCACUGGAAAAUGAAGGCAACAACAGUCAUCAUUAUCCAAAACCUGGUACUACGUGGCAGGCAUGGCAUGGCAGGCCAAAUUAACCAAAACCCGGCCGUUCGCCUACCGACGGGAGCAUACUACAGGAGCAGGGCAAUUAAUCCCGCUGCCAUCAGCGCCCGACGGGGACGGACGAAAUCAACGGCGUCUCCGUGACACAACGUCACCUGAUUAGCGCCCACGGUUGCAAGUCCAACCCAAUUUAAUGAAGGCAAAAAAAAAAACUAGGAGUACUCCACAUAAUUAGGUGGACGCAGCUAUCGCUAGAUUAACUGCGCGCAAACGUGCCGUUAAUUAAUUCCAUCACAGUCAGUUGCCGUGACGAGCAGCUUUUAUAUAGUAGUACUACUCCUAUUCACGGCGGUUGAAGGGCCAGUCAGCGAGUAUCUAAUUAACCGGGGCAUUUAUUUAAUCCUAGCAGUACUAGUACUACUCUCUUCCUAAUCGUCAUUAUCGCGGCGAUUAUUAAUUAAUGAAUUAAGCGAAACCACCGAAGAAUUGGGUUUCGCCCGCGACGUCUCAAUCUGCAUGGAUUAAUGUGGGGCAUUCAAUGCGCGAGAGCCGCAACUAACCAGAUGGAUGCAUGGGCGUGCGUGCUGCGUGGCUUUUUACUUGAAUUGCACUCGCCAAUGCACUUCUUCAUUGCUAGCCGUGUUAAUUGCCUGCCUUUGCUUCCCCGCCACGUACUCCUAUGUUUGCUAGCUGCUAUGCGGAGCAGCUUAAUUGCACCCUUUCCAUCCAAAGGCCGCCAUGCAUUAUUAAUGCUUCUUGAUAUGUAGUAUACGUCCACCGUGUGUAGAUACGAGGAGUAUAUCUCAAUGGAUGAUCAAGAUUUCAGAAUUUUAAUCAAGGCGAGGCGCCAUCUAGUACAGUACAUGAGAUUUUCAUAUCUCAAGAAUUGAUUAAUUCGACCGAUUUUUUUUCGUUAUUUGCCACAACAAUUUUCUUGAGAGAUCGAUCAAUGCAGUUCCCACUAGUUUGACUGGAGUUUUUUUUUUAAAAAAAACACAUCAAACAUGCCUAAUCCAGAUCAUCAUGUUCAACGAGAAGCUGAUCCAGAGAAUUUUCAAGCCGUGCCUUAGUAGAUUUCUUUCUUCAUAGCACACGUGCAACCGAAACUUUGAAUAUAUAUUUCGACCACUAAUAGACAAAAAAAAUUUAGGACAUGUAUUGGCGCGUGAAAAUGAUGUGUGGAUUUGUCAUGAAAAAUGCACUCGUUUCACUAUGUUCUUAACAAUUGGUACAAAAGUGAAUAUAAACUUUCCUCAAAAAAAGUGAAUAUAAAAUGCAAUGUAAAUAAAAUAUACUCCAUGAAAAGAACAUAACUAGUAUAUGAUCUUACAUUUUUUAGAUAAAUGGUUUAAUUUAGCUCUCCCCUGCAAGUUUUAAGAGCCACUGCAUAGUUUAUCUCGCAAAAGAAAUCCUCUUAGUUGGAUAUCAUUCAUGGAACCAAUAAUUAAUCCAACUGAGUUGUCCUCUUUUUUUUCUUUUUUAUUAAUUAUAAAAAACAUAUACCAUUACAUAUAUCUUCACAAAUAGAAAAUUAGAAACUACAUAUAGAAAUCAUAUAUAGGCUAGAAACUGCUUAUAAAAAUCAUGAAUGAGAAAUUCAGGCAGUAUUAUAAAUUUUAUAUUCUAGAGUAAAAUAUCAAAAUUGUGUUAUCUAUCGCACUAGAGUUCAGAUUAAUUUUCAUUCUCUAAAUUUAAAUAAUUCUACAACUCAUAAUAUUUUGUAUCCUACGCACCCAAACAAUGAAAAAAAAUAUUACCAUGAAUAACAAACACAACGUUAUAACGAACAAAACCGGAAUUAAGGAAAGGCUACUAUCAUUUGUACAGACAGACUUUUUAAGACGAAGAACAAAAUAAAAGAACAAAAUAAAUUGAGAGAAGUCCAACUUCUAUGUAACCCAGCAGUUUUUGAUCUACAUGAUCAUACUUUUUUUUGACUAAAUAAAUAUAGGGCCCUAUACUACGAUCAGGCGAUUCUUCAGACAAGAUAUUGCCUAAAAGAAAUCCAUUUCCUGACUUUUUCCAAUUUCCUCUAAUCUUUUUCUCCGUUCACUCCAUCUCCUCAGCAGCCGCAUUCAGGUCGAUCCUCGGCUUCUUGCCGCUGCCUUCGGCGGCGGCGGCGGACUUCUUCCCGCGGAGCGGUGGCACCCUGGCCGAGCAACGCGGGCAGCGGGGGUCCUCCUCGGCGAUGAGCACGUACGUGAGGCAGGAUGGGCACGCGGCUGCGCGCAUAGCGGGGGACGCGGGCUGCGGCGACCGGUUGCGCUUUCCGGCGGAGGAGGACGAUGACGAGGUCGACGCGGACGAUGUUGACGUUGCCGGCGAGGCGGUGGUUCUCCCGGCGGCCGCGCGCUCGAGGGCGGAGCGGACCAUGUCGAGGGUGCAGACCGCGGCUGAGUUGGUGGUGGGCGCCGCCGGCGCGGCGACUGCCGCCGGUGGAGGAAGGUUGAGGUCCUGGUGUCCGCCUUGCACGCUCGGGUGGCGUGGAGUCAGGAACGUCUUGCCGGACUGCGAGAAAAAAAUCAACAAAGGCUGGGUUGAGUAUACUUUGCAAAAGAAAUACGUUUUGGAAACUAUAUUUCACGAGGAUAUAGUUAAACAAAAUCUUUUGUGAUUACAAACCAAGAGUAUAUAUCCAUAUAUCUUUGUGCAACAUAUCACAAACAAGAGGUAAACUUGAUGGGCAUGCAUGCCAUGCGUAAGGGAAUCAACUCAUAUCUCGAUCAGAAAUCCCUAUUUCUAGCAGGCGACUGUAUACAAUCGAAAUCACAAGAACGAAAAAUCUAAAAUAUCGAUCAAAUCCUCGGAUAAAACUCAAUCACAAGAACAACCCUGCUUGGGAUAUGAACCAUAAAGGUGAGGGAAUCAACUCACCAGGAGGUCAAGCCGUCGCUCCCAGCCGGCCGGCACCGUGACCUCGAGGUCCACGACCUCGUCCUCCGCGGCCCCGCCGCCGCCGCAACCGCCGAGAAGAUCCAUCGUCACAAUCUCCGGCCCGCCCUUCUUCCCCGCCUCCCCGCGUAGCAGCCUCGCGACAGAGCUCACGUCCGCGGCCAUCAUCCCCGGUGGGCUCCCGCCUCCCGGAAUUCCUUUCUCGAUCGAUCGGCGGUCGUCGGCGGCAAUGGCAACUCCUCUCUGUCUCUGGUUUGCGCGUGCGCUCUGGCGGACUGCGGCCUGCGGGUGGAAUGAAGCGGUGGGGUUAGCGCGCCCUACCUAUAUAUACCGCCGGGCCGCCGCCCUGGCAGACAUGUGGGCCCCUCAGGCCAGGGACAGGCAGGUCAAUGAAUAUACUCCCCCAAAGGAGUGCGCUAUUAAUUGGCAUUGUUGGGAAAUGGUUGGCAAUUUUAUUCAUUAAUUGGCAAUUAAUUGAGCAUACUAGUAGCAUGGAUUUGAAUUUAUUCAAACACGGCUUCCACCUCUUGAAUUCAUGCAUUCCUACAUUUCCUUGAACCUUUUAAGCUACUUCCCUCAUCUUGGAACACAAGGCAAUUUUAGGUGUCUAUAAGUUAAAUUAUCUUAAAUUUAACCAAGUUUAUACAGAAAGGGCAUUAACAUAUACCAUAUUAAAUAGAUAGCUAUGAGAAAUAUAUUUUCACAUGCUUAUAAUCAUGAAAGCUUAUUAAAGGGACAAAAUGCUCCAUUUGAAUGCCAUUCAUUUUCACAUACUAUAUAUAUGUGCCAUGGUUUUUGCAUGAAUGUCCACUUUAUCUCACCAACACAGAGACUUUUUUUCAUAUUACCAACAAUGACUUUGGAGCCCCUUUGAUCCAAGCUAAACUAUGUUAUCAUUUUCCUUGGCAAAACCAGAAUAUGAAACCACGUCAAUAACAAUUACUAUAGCCAAAACAAAUAAUAGGAGAGUUUACUAUUCUCAAAGGGAGAUGAUACUCAACUUGAAUGCCAUUGAUUUUCACAUUCAUUUGUGAAACUAUUGAAUUAAUAUAGUUUGUCUGUAAGGAUGCAUGGCAGAUGUGCUAUCAAUAAUUAAAAAGAAAGGAUUUAGCUAUAAAUAAAAGGAUGCAAGACAGAUGUGCUAUCAAUAAUUAAAAAGAAAGGAUUUAGCUGUAAAUAAAACAAUAAAGGUUAACGUCUACUACUUGGUGAAAUGAAAGAACAUAUUGUCAUUUUAAUCAAAUUGCCAGAUAUUCUGCAUUAAUUUUAGCACUAGCAAGAUAUGCAGAGAUACAGACAUGAAGGAGUGCACUAUUUAUUGGUGUAGUUGGGAGAUAGUUGGUUUCAUCAUCUUGCAAUUAAUCGAUUAUACUAGCAUGCAAUUGAAUUUAAUUUAUUCAAACAUGGUUUUUAGUUUAUUCUUAAAAUCAGACAUGACAUAUUGGCAAGUCACAUUUUUGGUCCUUUUAAGUUUCUCUUGCUUAACCAUCACAUACAUUUUUUCUUAGAAAACCAUGUUUGACAUAGACAUCAUUCUUCAUCCCAUAACAACACCCACUUUAUCUCACCAAAACAUAAAUCAUUCUCCAUAUCAUCUAAUACUAGCGACGAUUUUGUGGCCCCUUUGAUCUAAGUUAAACUAUGGUCUCAUUUUUUGUGAAACCAAAAUAUAAAACCACAUCAAUAACAAUUACGAUAGCCAGAAGAAACAAAAUAAAAGUUUAAUAUUUUUCAAAAUAGAGAUAAUGCUCAACUUGAAUGCCACACAUUAUCGCAUUCAUUUCUGGAUUUUCUAAUUAUAAUUUGUCUACAAAAAUGGCAUCACAGAUGUUCUAGUAGUAAUUGAAAAAGAAAGGAUUUUGGCUAUAGAUAAAACAAAAUGCUUAAUUUAUGACAUGGUGAGAUGAAAGAAUAUAUUAUUAUUUUAAUCAAAUUGCCAAAUAUUUUACGUUAAUUUUAGCUCACAAGAUAUGUAGAGGUAUAGAUGUGAAGGGAUGCACUAUUUAUUGUUGUAGCUGGGAAAUAGUUGUUUUCAUCAAUUUGCAAUUAAUCGAGUACACUAGCAUGUAUUUGAAUUUAUUCAAACAUGAUUUUCAACUUACUUGUAAAAUCAAACAUGACAUAUUGUGUCACACCCUGGCUUUUAAAAUAAGACCAGAGUCGUCAUAUGUGUGUCCAGGAAGUCCACACAUACAACAAAGAAUAGAAAUAUCAAAAACAAUGUUAUAUAUAGCGAAAAACAUAUUUAUAUUAACACUUACAAACAUCAGAGUACGCGGAAACAAUAGCUAAACUUCUUAGGCUCCAAUCUUCUCAGGGACGGUUGACUGGGGGCUCCGUACGCCAAGCACUUCUGAUAAGCUUCUAGAAAACUCCAUAGCAUCUAUGUCCUUCUUCUGAGCAGCACUUUACUACACGCUGGGGUGUGGGGGAAAUAGCAAGGGUGAGUUCAUGUCGAGCUCAACAAGUACAGGCGGAAAGUAUAAUGACAUGCAAGGCUUAAUCAAAGAAAAAGCUGACACUGUUUAACUGUAGGUGAGCUUUUAAGUUGGUACACUUUAAUUACAAUUCUUUUAUUAAGCAACCUAUUACUAGUGGUGAGUAGAAUAUCCCAACCCUUAAUUAGAUGGAAUGGAAGUAGAUUAACCAUUUUAUUAAACAUUAUUAUUAUUAUUACCGAGGUAGCAACCUCAGAUAGUAACUCGGGGUAGCAACCCCAUUAAGGUCAUGGGAUAGCAAUCCUAAUUAAGAACACAGGAUAGCAAUCCUGCCAACACGGAAUAGCCAUUUCGCCAAAGCACGAGGUAGCAACCUCAACCAAGUUCCGCCUCCAAGUUCCAUGUGAUUCCAAUUUGCUCAUCAUGUGAGGGCCUGGGCCGCUCGUCUAAUUAAUUCCACAAUAUUUGAAAAGCACCAUUUUUGUUUGUUGUGGAAAUCUAAACUAUUGUUGGCAAAUUUUAUCCACAUAUUAAAAAUCGUUCAUUUUAUUUAGUAUUUUUCUAAUAACAACCCGAAAUAGAAAUUUCGGGGUGUUAUAUAUUGGUCAGUCACAUUUUAUUGAACCUUUGGAACUUUCCUUGCUUAACCAUCACAUACAUUUGUUUCUUAGAAAAUCAUAUUUCACAUAUGCACCAUUAUUCGUCUCAUAACAACGAACACUUUAUCUCGCCAAAAAUAUUCCAUUUCCAACAUCAUCAGUACUACUUAUUAUUUCACCAAAAAUAGACCAUUCUCCAUAUCAUCUAGUACUAGCAAUGAUUUUGUGCCCCUUCAAUCUAAGAUAAACUAUAUUCUAAUUGUUUUAGUGAAACUAAAAUAUAAAAUCGUAUCAAUAACAAUCACUAUAGCCAGAAGAAGCAACAUAAAAGGCUUAAUAAUUUUCAAAGAGAGAGAGAACACUCAACUUGAAUGCCAUUCAUUAUCGUAUUCAUUUGUGAAAUUUGAAUUACAGCAUGUCUCGAAGAAUGGCAUGACAAAUAUGCUAGUAGUAAUUAAAAAGAAAACAAAUUGUUUGUAGAUAAAAGAAAAAAUAGCUUAAAGUUGAACACAUGGUGAAAUGAAACAACAUAUCAUCAUUUUAAUUAAACUACCAGAUAUUAAGGAGUGCAAUAUUUAUUGGUGUAGUUGGGAAAUGGUUGAUUUCAUCAAUUUACAAUUAAUUGACAAUACUUACAUGAAUUUGAAUUUAUUAAACAUGGUUUUUGGCUUGUUCUUAAAAUCACACAUGGCAUAUUGGUAGAACCUUUUGAGUUUUUCCUGUUUAACCCUCACAUACAUAUUUUUCUUAGAAAAUCAUAUUUGACAUGUGCACCAUUCUCCAUCUUAUAACAACGCACCGUGUAGCAUAUUCAACAUCUGUGGCAAACCCAAUCCAUCUACUCACUAUUGCCACUAUAGCUCCGUACCACAUCUCCCCAUAUCCUCUAAUGGAUAUUGCUUUAUGCCUCAAAUAGCUACCACAUGUCGUCCUAUCAUCUAGUAGCUAUUGUUGUAUGCAUCUACUACCUACGGCUAUCGAUGCCUUGCUUCUCAUUUGAAUGUCACCUUAGGAGUUUUGAUAUGUCUUUGAUCCAAAAUAUAAAACCCUAACAAUAGCUCUUACUAUAAUCAAAGAAAAAUAUAAAUCUUCUUAUUUUCAAAGAGAGAUAAUGCUCAACCUAAACGGCAUUUAUUUCCAUAUUCGUUGCACAAUUUUUGAAAAUUAUAGUUCAUCUAUAAGCAUGACAUGACAAAUGUGUAAUAAUUAGAAAGAAAAGAUUUAGCUGUAAAUAAAACAAAAUGUUAACAUUACAGCACACAGUGAAAUAAAGGAUGUAUUCAUUAAUCAAAUUGCCAUAUUUAUAUGUAUUAACGUUAGCAAGAUAUGCGGAUAUACAGAAGUAAAUGAGUGCACUAUCUAUUGACAUAGUUGGAAAAUGGUUAGCAAUCUAUUCAUCAUUUGGCAAACAAUUGAGUAUAUAUACCAGCAUGAAUUUAAGUGUAUUCAAACAUGGUUUUCCCACUUAUUCUUAAAAUCAUGCAUAUAUAGCAUAUUGUCAAGUCAUGUUUCAUUUAACUUCUGAGUUGAUCUUGCUUAACCAUUGCAUAUGUAUUUUUGUUUGAAAUCACGUAACAUUAUUCCAUAUCGCGCCACUAGAAGUUUCAUUAAAGCUCCACAUUGUGUAUCACUAUAUGAUCUAGUGGCAGAUAGUAUCCCUUGUUGUAUUUGUAGUCUUAGGCCCUAUUUGGACCGAAGGGGUAAAGAUUAGCCCAUCCCUUUUAGCCAUGUUUUAGCCCUUCAGGGUCCAAACAGGAGGACUAAAAGGAGGAGCUAAUCUUUAGCCCUCCAUUAGCCCAUUAACCCUUGCAAGGUAGGCUAGGGGGCUAAAAGUGCUAAUAAGUGACUUUACUCUCUUUCUAUCUCCUCUCUCUAUCACCUUUUAGUUACAAAUCCAAAUAGUCCAAGAAGCUAAACUUUAGCCCCUUUAAUUCGAGGGCUAAUCUAUAGCUCCGGGAUAAACUUUAGUUAAUGGGAUCCAAACAGAGCCUUAGGGUACUCUCAAUGCAAAAACCAUCAUAGUUUCUAUAAACAUUAAUUAUGGUGCCACCUAAGCAUUUUGCUGAUGUGGCAAAGUAGUUAUUGAAAAGAGAGCAAAAAUCAUAGAAACUGGGUCUAACUUAGAAAUCAUGUCUACGCGAGAUCUAAGACAUGAAGUGAUAUUAUUGGUUGAGAAUGGAUAGAGAAUGAAUGUGAUUGGAUAACAACCUCGAAUAAUUUCAGCUUAUACAUAGUGUCUAUAGAAAUUAAUAGGUAUAGAAACGACAUGUAUUUUUUAGCAUUGAGAGUGCCCUUAGCUAGCAGAGUACUAUUUUGUUGUCAUGUGCCUUUGCUAGCUAAGGCUACAAAUAUCUUGGUUAUUACUAUCUUUGGGAAAGGGAGAAUAUAAUGCUCAACUUGAAUGUCAUUUAUUCUAUAUUUAUUGUGCAAUUAUAGUUCAUCUAUAAGAAUGGCAGGCCAGAUGUGCUAGUGGUGAUUAAAAAGAAAUAGUUUGGCUAUAAAUAAAACAAAAAUAAUUCAAUGGACCUAUCGUGUGUUUAUUACAUUCCCAGAUUUUCUCUACGUACAAUGGAACCUAGGAAAGAUAUGCAGAUAUUAGUGGAAAGUGUGCAUAGUAAAAUAAAUAAAUAAAUAAAUAUAUUUCGUUGGACUAGUAGUAGAAUUAGGACUAGGGAACUAUACGUCACAUCAUUAGCUACCGGUAGGUGAUUACCAAUUAGGAAAAAAUAAAGAAAUGAAAUUGGGUUACGUAUCUGUGGUGUACUAUUAAAAAGACGUGCUCCUACCCCAGAACGUAAUCACACUCAUAUCUUGUCACGAAUUGAUGGUGAAGAUUGUUUUCCAUAACCACCGAAUAGGAAGGCUUUUAAUGUGCAUCAACAGCAACCCGUGAUGAGACGAUCUUUGCAUCGCAAGCAAUUAAACACAAGGAUCGUGAAGACUUGCCGCCUUGACUCGAUCCAUGAUUCAUCAUCGAGUACUUGUGGAUUGCAGUUCAAUUCACACGAUGGAAGUAGCACUUGUGUGCAGCAACUUUUUUUAGCCAUGCACGACUAGCUACCAAGCUGCCAUGCGUCUUGACUGUACUUAUCUCUGUAAUAGCUUUCGAGCAACUUUUGAAUUGAUCGACUCUGUCCAUGCUGAAAUUAUUCGAGGUUGUUAAUUGUAGACUUGUAGUAUACCGUACAUGACUGCAGAUAAUUUGCAGAUGAAGAAAUACUCUGUCCAUGCUGAAAUUAUUCGAGGUUGUAUAUGGGCAGCCGGUCCCUGUCAUUUUCCUUCCAUUAAAAUUUGCCAACCACAACAAUUUUAAAAUUUAGUCUAUGGCAUGCAUGCCUAUUUUUCCUUUAGAUAAUUAUUCGAGGUAGGAUGCGUUUUCUUUUCAUUUUUGAAUGAGCAUGCAUUCAAAACGGAGUAGUUACAGUUGGGGUCAGAGUGCUCCGUUUUGCUGCAUUUCUUGGGCGUGGGGCCGGGUAAAAUGACCCACAACAAACGCAUUAACUAACCCAACUGCGACUGAAUUGUCAUGGGAAAAGUAGCUUCCUAAACCUUCACACCCAAGAGUUCAAUUGCCCCCAUUGAAUGCAAUCAAUAUCUUCAUCUUUGCCUGCACUUAUUAAUGAACGGAUUGUUAGGGCCUUUGGUUAUCUCCGCAUUAAUGGCGAGCGCAAGUGCUCACCGGGAUUCUCUGUGGUAGGGUAGCUCAACGGCUUGUCACCGGCCCAACUCUGUACGUUACUGAAAUUCUAUAGGAUUUGGAAUUGGAAUUGCGAGAGCACAGUUUGCAUUUACGACUAGGAAUUGUAAUUUGUAUAGUAGGAAAAAGGUAUAGUUUCAAACAUCAUAAAUUCGAUUACUUUGAGCAAUUGUUUUUUUUUGGCUAUUAUAUGAGCAAAUUUGAUUAAAUAGCCCCUCAAUAUUCAGAUCGGAAAUUGGCUUAAUCAUGGAGGAGGCAAAAGGAAUUUCUCGUCCGAUGAGUGAAUGGAAGUCUUCGUAAGCGAAGAGAGAUUGUAAUUUUUCUUAAAGAUCCGGCAAAAACAGGUUUUGAUUAAAUAAGAGGGUGAGCAGAACUCAAAUUUACAAGCGGGAGUUGCGCUCUCCAGCAUAUACUAGGAUGUCUGGGGUAGCAAAUGCUUUGGCUUUGUUAGCUGUAGACGUUAUAAACACUCUGGGGCUGUCUUGGCCAAGCAACUGCAUGUACAUGGAACUUCCUCAACGCCAUGCCAAUUGUAAUACUUUUGUGACAAGCUAAUAAAGAUCUCUCUUUACUCGCAAGAAAACUCAAUGCUAUAGUGUGUGCGGAAGAGUUGAAGCCGAAGCUAAGAGGAUAUAAAACGAGUGACAUUAUAUUGCUACAACCUUAAAAUGGGAGAUUAAAACAUUAUUCUUGCAACAAAAAGAAAAAAUUUGAGACAAUGAUCUCCACCUUUGUCUCAUACCUAGACGCCAUGUUUUCCUUUCAGCCACAAUAAUACAUGUCCUCGUGUCCAAGGAGGAAAAUUAUCAUGGGCGAUGUAGGUGUAAGUUAGGGCCUGUUUGACAAGGCUCCUUUCCAGCUCCGGCUCUGGCUUCUUCAGAGGAGCUCUACCAAACGUGUUUCUGGAGAAGCCAUUUUCGAGUAGAAGACAGAAGAGUCGGAGCUAUUUUGACAAAGACCAUUUAAAUAUCUGGUUAUAAACUUCUCUACAUAUGCCGAGUUUAGGAAAAAGUAAGAACCUAGCUCACCCAGGGCCGGGGGUUGGUGGAUCAAGCACUUGUAGAAAAAUUUUGGUGUAUAAGGGGCCUAUAUGCAAAUAGCAUUUUAUUUUUGUGGUAUCCCUAAGAAAAAUAUUUUUUUCAUGAAGUAUUGUACAUGUGUAGACACUUACAUAACAAAGACUUAUUGAGCACAUUCGAAAGACUGAGCUAACAAAUCUAGAGUUUGACAAAAGUCUUAGAUAUCUCACUGUCAACUGCAGGCACGUCACCUAUCAGAAUAGUGUCAUUAAAUCUAUAAAUACAUUUAGAAAAAAAUCAGCAAGAAUGUCAAGUCUCUUGGUCAGGUUCCAUCACAACGAAGAAUCUAAUUAGUUGAGCUAUGCCCAAUUUGUGAAAAAUACCUUCUUUCAAUGAGUUUGUGCUUGAAUUGCAUAGAGAUCCCUCGCAAACAAUUUUCACUUGUACCAUUUUCAUUUUUUUUUUGCGAAAGUGUUAUCUCCUUUUCUUAUAGGACAGCAUGUUUAUUAAAAUUAGCCAUAUAAAAAUGGAGGGAAGGAGCCUGGAUAGCUUACCCACCGCCCAUGCAUGCCCAUUCCAUCCAUCCAUGAACCAUGAUUGUGUGGGCGUCAUAUGACUGUCUACACGUUUGACCGCGAUUAAGCAGCUGACGUAGCCUUUUCGAUCGAGAAUGAAAUGUGAAAUGGAGCAUCGAGUUCUUAUUCAAUUUAUUAUCUAAUACUAUUAAAUACAUAUUUGUUGACCGUGCAUGGAGGAAAACAUAUCCGUCCUAAUAUGCGGCUUCGGGAAUGGGUAUUUUAAUUUAUUCUAAGAUACUAGCCACGCCCAUGCAUGCAUGGUCAACUAACUGUUGCCAACCUCUGAUUCCUGAACAACAACUGCAUGCAUGAAGAAUAGUCUAAGCCGAGAGGCAAAAAGAAACCAUGCUGAAUUGACACUUCAACUUUCAUCUUGAGCAGAAAGGGAAAAAAAGCAUCCAAGUUGAGUGACAAACAUCACCACCCCAUGCAUGCGUCAAAUUGCAAAUACUCCCUCCGUCCUCAAAUACUGCUAUUUCUAGCAGAUUUCAGACAGAUUAGUGUGGCAAAUAAAAGACCAUUCUACCCUCAAUUAAUUUGGGAUCCACCAUUUAAUCAUGCACGUUAAGCCAUGGUUCUCUGGUUCCAACGAGCUGCAUUUAAUGCCAACUAAAUAGACUCAAACAAUUACCAUACGCCAAAGUACUACUCCCUAAAAAAAUUAAAUGGGCUGGUGGACUACGGAAGUUCCGAGGAGAAUUAAAUAGGCUGGUGGACUGAGUGUGCUAGUAGAAAUAGCAAUAUUUAUAGACAAAAUUUUCUCCUAGAAAUAGCAGUAUUUAGGGACGGAGGGAGUACUAUAGGAGUUUAUAUACCCAUGGACAACACAAAUAAAUACGUAUGUUUCUGUAGCUACAGCUCUACGCAAUCAUCAAUGGAUAGUAGUAGUACGUAGUUAGGAGCAUCAUCAGUAGUUGAGAGCGUGGACUUUGUGCUCUACGCAAACGGUUGUUCAUAAGUCAGGCUGAUCCAUAACUGCCGGAUGACAGUACAAAUUGCACCAUCAGUUUCCCUAGCUAGCGCCAUCAUCGGCCAAAGAGCAAGCAGCAGCGCAUCGCAGAUGCAUGCAACGCAACCGAUCGAACGCCGGUCAUUACUGCUGCAAGGACGAGCAGGAAUAAUCAGAGGAGCACAAAUCUGAAGAAAGAACCACUGCAGCCGCAGCUGUCUGACCUUCCCAGUGUGCAAUCUGCGCAGUUGAUCGCGUGGCUACAACGGCCUGGCCAAACCUUCGAUUCCACUCACUGUUCCGUUCCGAAUGUCAAUUCCUGUACUUGUGCCAUAAAACUGCCAUGGCGUAAUCCGCAGUGAUUUGGGGGAAAAACUGCGGCAGGCAGGCAACAGAGCGGCCAGAAAAAGCAAUGCAUAUGCAUGACACAGGGAAUUCAUUACGUACAGUACCCGGUGGUAGCAGUUUUUGGUGUCGUACCAGUACGGCGGAGCCGGAUCUUAUUUUCGUCGCAAACGAUUACUAUUGCUGCUGUAUUACAUUACUAUUAAUUAAGUGGCACUGUUAGUUGCUAACUGUCCUCUGACACAAUAAGUCACGCACAGCCGAGAAGGUCGUGUAGUACUCGCUAGCUAGUAGGGGGUUUCUCCGUCAUCUGCAUGGACUUGUUGCGAAUUCUCUGCAAACUCUCUUAGCUCGAAGCUUGCAAGUCAGCCCAACCUCCGGCUAUUAAAUGAAGAUUUGGUGCGUGCAUGUACCUGCACGGAUGUGGGGGUGUACAGUCAUGCUGAUACUGAGAGAGAUAGUCAUCGUUUGACAAAUUAAAGUAGGAGUACUCCUACUAAUCUACUACUCCUAGGCCUUGUUUAGUUCCGAAAUUUUUUCGGAUUUCGCUAAUGUAGCACUUUCGUUUUUAUUUGACAAAUAUUAUCCAAUUAUAAACUAAUUAGGAUCAAAAGAUUCGUCUCGCGAUUUACAGACAAACUGUGUAAUUAGUUUUCGUUUUCGUCUAUAUUUAAUGUUUCAUGCAUGUGCCACAAGAUUCGAUGUGACGGAGAAUCUUGAAAAACUUUUUGUAUUUCGGGGUGAACUAAACACGGCCCUACUCCUGAAUUCCUCCUGAUCAAUCGACACACAGCACACAGGAGGAUCAGCAGUGCAUGCGAGUAGAUUAGCAGCAGACCAGCAGAGGAGAUCAGAGAGGAAGAGGAGUCUACAGCAGCAGGUACUAGCAGGGAAAAGUACAAUCUUCAAUAAUACUUCGCCCGCGCAAUAAAUGGUUCCAUGAAUGCAGAGUGGUUCCUGGUUGAAAAAUUUAUGCGCAGACAGAUGAUGGGGGAGGGGUCGUUUUUAGGGAUUUAAUGAGGGAAGGGAACUAGAGUUAGGCUAGGGUGGGCCCACCACUCAUCCUCUCUAUGCGGCCCCGUGGUUUGCCUCCUCCUAGGCCUACUGUACAAAGGAACAAAACACAUGCACGUUUAUCAAACCGGCUGAUGUAAGCAUCCACCAAAUACAUGCAUCGAAAAUCUUCGUCCUCCCUUGGCUUGGUCCAUGCAUUUGAUUGAUCAUCUGUACUAUGCACUCUCUAUGCUUUGCAAAUACUUUGCCGAGCUAUUUUGGAGCAAGUUUAUCUCUGGCUGAUGUUGAUACUAAUUUGUUAUAAGAAAAAAACACUGUUAUCUAACUAUAAAAAUUUAUAUGAAAAAGUUAAAGUAAACUGGAGGAUUCAGAGCCGAAGAAAAACCCUACCAAACAAACCUUUAGUAUAGUUGAUGUUCAAAAUACCAAUCCGAGUGAAACCUUUUUAGUUUAAGGGUCAUUUAUAUAUUUUGAAACAGAAAAUACUUGUCAAAGUUACGUUUAGGAGAGUGUCUCGUUUUGAAAAAAAACGCCAAGUGUUCGGAAACAAGAGAGGGUAUUUUUUCAAAAAACAUUUGCUAUUAUUUUCUUUGUGCUGGGCUAGCCAUGAGUGCUGUUUUUUUUUGACAAGAAGCCAUGAGUGCUGUUGUGUGCGUCAAUUUGGUCCAACUGUUCCAAUAAAUACACCUUGAAUUGGUGGCAAUCUCUAUCCUCGCCUUUAAUUUCCUCACACCCAAAAACGAGAAAAGGCUACUGCAGACCGCUCCCUCCUCUUAGAGGCAGAGGACAAGUUUAUUUGGCUCGAUAAUAAUGAGUAUAAUGAUGAGGGUUAUGGAUUGCUAUAUUUGAUUUUCUGUAAUCAUCACGCACCAUCAAAAUAUAGUUGCAUGUAGCUUUUCCUGGACAAUUAGUUCGGUUUUUUUUCUGUUUUUAUUGAUAAAAAAUGAUUACAAAUAGGAGUAGUGUUCAAACAUAUUGGGAAAAAGUGCACGUGAACAUUUUAUCUCACUGUCUAAUAUAAACACGCGCUAGAAUAGCGUUGAUCUUCUAGAGACAGAUAAUUCUUCAAUAUAUGAACAUUAGUUCAAGUAAGGUUUUGAUUUAUAUAUUUAAAUAAAUAGUUAGCAGAGUAAGCGCUCAAGUGGUUAGUUUUUCUUUAAGGUAAAAUCUGUUCACUCGGAGAUGUUUAUAGGGUUAGGAUAUGUGCUCUGAGUCUUGAUUAUGGGUGCAUCUUUUUUUUGUGACUCGAUUAUAGGUGCAUCUUCUAUGUGUAAAAUGUAUAUACUUUUGUCUAUGAACUUUUAUUAGAAAAUAAUAUUUUGAAAAUCAUAAUAUGGAAUUUUUGUAGGGGAAAUAUGGAAUUGAAAAUAGAAAUAAGCCUAGAGAAGAACUCUGAAGCGCGGGCCCAACAGAGUGUUUUCCGGAUGGCCCAGAAAAUUGAGCAUCAGCCGGCCCAACUAAUAAGCAAACCUGCUUCUCUACACCACCCAAGGCCCAAGGCCCAAUAGACGAGAGUCCACACGUCCCCACCCCCACCCCUCCCGACUCCGCGGUCCACUCUCCACUGCCACCAGGCAAACCAGCCGCGCCGCCGCCGGCGAUGACCACCGCGCGGUUCGUCUCAACCUGCCCCACCCGCCUAUCCUCCACGUCGACUUCCCCGAUUCGAACCUCGGGGUGGGUUAUCGGUCGGGUCCCCGCUAGGCCGCUCGGUUUCUCGCUUCGUCUCAAGCCCGCCAUGGCCGCCGCCGGCGUCGGCGGCAACGGCUCCCCGACCGCACCCGGAGACUCCAUAGGUGGUUCAUGUGUUUGACAGUGGAAUUUUUUUGCUCUCUGCGCAGCUUCGUGUUUGAUUCGUUCCUCAGCUGCGCCCAGCACUUAAUAGUUCAUAUUGUUCUUCUCUGCAGUAGCUAUUUCGACGGACUGUAUUUGUUCCAAGCACAUUUUUUUUUAUGAUUGCGUUCAAAAUCUUCAGGAUCUUCUAGGAUUGGAGAGGUUAAGAGGGUGACUAAGGAGACAAAUGUGCACGUGAAGAUCAACCUUGAUGGCACUGGUGUCGCCGAGUGUAGCACAGGGAUACCGUUCUUGGAUCACAUGCUCGAUGUGAGUAUACUUUAUCUGCGUUGUACAAGUAAUUAGGGAAUUGGAGGUAUCUGUAUAGACAUAAUAUGCUUGCGGUUCCUGUCUUUGUGAUUUCUAGUUCCCAUGGAUGAGGGGACUGAGAACAUUAGGCCUUUUGUGCAAAAGGGGAGAAAAUCAAAGCCGUGUACUUAACAUGAAACUAUCUUGAUCAAAUCCAUAAAGUGGGCUAACUCAAGCAUCUUCUGAUAGGAAAAGUCUUUUUGUAUACUGCUCUUAACUUAAGAAGAUGUUUAAUAGGGCCAGUAGUACAGUCAUUUUUUUUUAGAAAGUGAUGUACUGUACCAUGAGAACUUGAGGCCAUCUUGACGUGGAAAACUCUACCACUUUUCUAGUUCCACGUGUUGCAGGUGGUCACUCUUAGGACUAUGCUAUCGAGCAAUUACUUCGCAAAAUGCCGGCUUCGAUUUAACUUUUCCUAGUAUGAUGUGAUCCAUGGAGAGAGUUCCACACAGGUGUCAGAAUUCAGAAAUGACUACCGUACGUGAGUCCGUGACUAGCGCUUGUGAAGAGAAAUAGCUGUAAAUACUAAAAUAUAACCAAAGCCAGAAAGCAAAUAUUCAUGUAAAAAGGCCACCUAUUUCCAUUAUAUUCCCUUUUAAGGCAUUUAUUUUUGAACAUGCUGCUGCUCUUUAAUGGUCUCUAUUCUAUUGUACUACCUAUGUCAUGUGGUUCAAAAUAGAAGGUUCUAAAUGAGUAGAUAAGUAUGCUUUUUUUCAGUCAGUUGGCCAUUAACUUUGAGCUUAAAACUUGCAGCAGUCUAAAUGAGUAGAUAAGUAUGCUUUUUUUCAGUCAGUUGGCCAUUAACUUUGAGCUUAAAACUUGCAGCAGCUGGCAUCACAUGGACUCUUUGAUGUGUACGUGAAGGCAACAGGUGACACACAUAUUGAUGACCAUCACUCAAAUGAGGACAUUGCUUUGGCAAUUGGGACGGUGAUUAUUACUUUCCAAGAACAUUUGUCAGUUUAACUUCUAGAUGCAUUUUCCUUUCCUAACUCUUGCACUAAACUUAACACUGAUUCACCAUUUUUUUCAGCUUAUGACUUGUGCUGAACCACCUGUAAUUUAAUUCCAUGCAAUCAGCAUUAGCAUAGAUAGGCAGACAAUCAAUGUGAUGAUCUUCCCUUAUUGUCUGUGUAGGCACUACUUGAAGCACUUGGUGAUCGAAAGGGAAUUAACCGUUUUGGGCAUUUUACAGCACCGCUCGAUGAGGCAGCGGUUGAGGUUAUACUGGUAAGUCGUAUUCUCUUGUUGUAUUUACACACUAUAAAUGUGCAAUUUUGCAUUGACUCUAUAUGCCAAUCUAUGUGCCAUUUAUGCGUGUCUGGCUCUAGUGCUAUACACUUAAGGUUCUUUGUUUUUGGAUUUCCAUGUAUUCAUGAGCAUAUACUAUUACUAGAGGCCCGUUCAUAUGCAUUUAUUGACACUUCAGCAAUAACAUUCAAGCUGUUUUUUUAGAUUUUUGUUUGUGUAUGAAGUUUUUCAUAUCCAUCUAUCACAUACAAAUUGAAAAAAGAAGUUCUGUUAAAUCUUAAAUGUUAUCAUAUAUUUGUUUGCCAUUUUUGGUUCAUGUUAGUUUAAGUUAUUUUAUUGGACACAUCACAAUGCGCAUGUUGUCGAUGUUUUAACUUCCCUUCACUAUAUGAAUAUGCAAAUUUUAGCCACCUCAUUUGUUUCUUUAAUAACCUGAAACAAAUUGUUGAUUAUUACUUCCCCCUGUAUCCAGGAUCUGUCUGGUCGCCCUCAUUUAAGCUGUGGCUUAGAUAUUCCUACUCAGAGAGUUGGCACAUAUGAUACACAGGUAAUUUGUGAAAUUUGCAAACCUUUUGUCAUUAUAUGUGCAGUUGUGUUUUCUUUAUGCUUAGACCUAAAAAAAAUUAUAAUCCUUGAUAGCCACAUCUGAAACUUUCAUUUCAAGUUCGACAUGCAUUCAUUUAUAUUUCAUCAACUGUUUAAACACGACACUUCCUGUGUUUAAAAAGAAAUACCUUUUUGUGAAAUCUUAAAAAAAAAAAAACCUUGGCAGUCAUCAUUUAUUCAUCGCCAAUGCAUUGCAACACUUUCUGCAUUGUAAACUCCUGCAGUCAAGUUAGUCAAAGUUUCAUUUAUUCAUUUUGGUUCCAGCUGGUUGAACACUUUUUCCAAUCUGUGGUGAACACAUCUGGGAUGACUCUUCACAUCCGUCAGGUACAUAUUGCUGUCUGCUCAAAUCAAAUUCUCUUCAAAACAGCUGGAUCAGUGAUACAAUUUUAGUCACGGACAGUUAAGAGCAUCAUAUAGGCUGAGCAUAAGGGCAAGAUGGUUGAGUUUUCUCUAUUUUUUAUAGCUAAUUUGCAUGACCCUGUCCCUAGCACCUCAUCUCUUGCUCCAUACUGUCUUUUGAAGCUUGCUGGGAAAAACUCACACCAUAUUAUCGAGGCAUCUUUCAAAGCAUUUGCUAGGGCACUUCGACAAGCAACAGAAUAUGACUUGCGCCGCCAAGGCACUGUCCCCAGGUCUGUCUUUCCUUACUGAAAACUUUAUUCAGAAAACUCUCAUUAGUUCAUGACCAGUAGGUGAAAAAAAUGCUUCAAGUACUGUUAUUUCGAACCACACCAUUCUGUAGAUGUAGUUCAAGUUUUCUACUGUUGAUUGAUAUCUGACAUUGGUAGAGGAUAGCUGGGUUUAAAAGCCAACAAACAUAUGCUCUUGAUAUUCUACAAUUUACAUCCCUGCUGUCUGCUGAUAUUUUUCUUGGUUGUCUCAAUUGCAGCUCCAAAGGUGUUUUGUCAAGAUCAUAACAUUGUGAGUUUGAACGUACGCAUACCGUUCAUUGCAGCGCACAUCAAUGAGAGGAAACCUGCAGGCAGCUGCUGCGGUUUCUGCUGCUUACAUUGGGAGCCUGCGUUAACCUUUGACACCAAAGCAUGGACCUUGCUAGUGAGAUAAAUCAAAUAUCAAAUGUAGCACUACUGCAACUCUAUCUGCUCUCUGGAGUUACAGGAAAUCUGAAGAUUGAAAAGGUCUGGACAAGCUGUGACUUUGAAAGCUACUCCGGUCACCAUGAAUAAUGCUGCGCCUUGUAAGAACUUUGCAACGUGGAUCAUCCGCACAAACAUAGGAGUAUGUAAUUGUUUGGCCAUUGAAGGGAAUAAAUUGGUUUUUGUUCGUCCAGUUUGUGCGAGUUGAGAAAAUAGGAGCCCUCCAAUUAUCUGGAACUGGAAAGAGGGAUGAAUUGUGGUUCCACUUAAUCCACGAAUGUUCACUGGAUGCCGAAUCAGCGAAUUUUCUCCUGCAUAAUUUCUCUACGACGAUCGCGUGUGUAGACUGCUUCCGCUGCCCAUGCAGGACACGCAGGCCUGCAGUGCCACUGAAACGGUUCGUUGCGCGUCGUGCGCCGGCAAAGCUUCCGCAGAGCCCGGAUGAGAUCGUGGCAGGUAGAGCCAAAGUUUAACUUGGGCCUUGUUUAGUUUAAAAAAAUUUGCAAAAUUUUUCAGAUUCUCCGUCACAUCAAAUUUUUAGACGCAUGCAUGAAGUAUUAAAUAUAAAAGAAAAUAAAAACUAAUUGCACAGUUUGGUCGGAAUUGACGAGACGAAUCUUUUGAGUCUAGUUAGUACAUGAUUGGAUAAUAUUUGUCAAAUACAAACAAAAGUGGUACUAUUCUUAUUUUGCAAAAAAAUUUGCAACUAAACAAGACAAAACCGAAGAAUUGAAGUUUAACUUGGGAUCUGAUAGAGCCAAAGUGAGUAGAACGGAGCAGAGUAUUACAACAUAAAAGGACGGCUAAUGCAAAUACAUGCAAUAGCACUACUAGUACUAGAUCAAACACUGAAACUUCCAAUUUCAUUUCAUAUAUAGAGGAAACAGUAAAAGAGAUUGCAGUACACUUGGUGCGGUUUUGCCACAAUUAUUCAACCCGAUCGAGCUACUGCUACUGCUCGAUCAACACAAACGCCCGCAUUGGUACUGUGUUGGUGUGUGGUACAAAUUAUUCAUAUCAAUACUUGUAAUGGCUGCCUGACCCGCGCGCGCGGCUGCACUUGUGCCGCCGACGCUGAGCCACCAGCGUACAGAUCAGCCACGGCCAGGGUACCCCGGAUAGCCGCCGCCGGUACCGUUGCCGCCAGGAUAGCCGCCGCCACCCGGCAGGCCACCGCCAGGAUAGCCGCCGCCGCCGCCGCCGCCUGCCACUGGUGCCGCGCCGAACGCCUGCUGGACCCAGUCGACGGUGGCCUUCUCGAGCAUGAAGGCCCUGGCGAGGAUCUCGUCGAGGAUGGGCGGCUUGGCGCCGAACACGGCGUUGGCGAUGGUGAUGGUGCCGGGGUUCUGGCUGCUGAGCGCGGCGAUGGCCACGGCGGGGGUCUUGCCGUUGUUGAGCUGGAAGUGGAUGAGCCCCUGCGGGAAGACGAACACGUCGCCCAUGACCAGCUGCUUGGUGAAGAGCGUGUUGUUGAGCAGCUGGUUGGAGGUGACGAAGCCCACCAGGAGCGUGCCCUGGAUCACCGUCAGGAUCUCCGACCCGCGAGGGUGCGUGUGCGGCGGGUUCUGCCCGCCGGGGACGAAGUCGAUGCGCGCCAGCGAGAUGCCCAGCGUGUUCAGCCCCGGGAUCUCCGUCACCGCCACCGGCGUCACGGCUGAGCCCUGCGCGUUUGCUGCCAUCGGCUCUAUGUGGAAGAAGAAGUCGUUUGCCUUCACCACCUUCGGGUUCUUGCAAACCACACCAUUCACCAGCACUGCAAGCACACGUCGACUCCACCCAUGCAUGUCAGUAGACAGUACAGUACAGGCAUCGCACAUAGCAUACACAUGACUUGCCUUUACAUGCAUAUGCAUACAUACAUGUCUAGAAAUACACUGUAUUGAACAAACUACUCGUACAUACAGCAAGAGCCAUAGUAUAGUAACAAUAUAUUUUACCUGCAAGGUUGUUGUUAUCAGCAACGCAGAAGUCCUGGAGCUGGGUCGGGUCAGUUGCCAGACCACCACGGGGAACUGAAGCAAAGCCCACAACUGCUAGCACUGCAAGCAGUGUAGCAAAACGGGAAGCCAUGGUUCUCUGUUUAUUUGCUAACUAGUGAUCAAGUGUGUGCUCUACAACACUUGCCAGGGCACCAAUUUAUACUGUCAUAAAGGUAGCUGUGCAGUAGUGGACUGCUUGCACGCUCUGCUCCACAAUUCACCAUCCAUCACUCUAGCUCACUCACUGUGUAGUUUGAGUAGGCAUCCACGAUAUGCUACUCGACCGAUGGCUUACGUAGAAUGUAUCUGUGUCUUGUUGUUACAGUUCCACUAACUGUUUCUUUACAUAUACAUGGUGUGAUAUAAUCACGUGCCUGAUAUCCUUGUGGAAUUACAUGCAUGCAGGUACGAUACGGUUGGAAAAUGUGGGUGAAGAUAACAAAUUUUUUUCAAUCCUUGUAACAUUCACCCACUACCACCACAAAGAUUUCCAAAAACCCACUUGUGACUUCUGAUCGAUCCCCAUCCGUAAACAAGUACAACUCCUGCACUGAAAAUUCUACGGGUGGCACCUCCUGAGAAGGUGACUAAAAUUUUCUUUAAACUCGCGUCUCCAGGACUCCAUAGUGCUUGUCCGCCAGGCCACACUAGUUUUGCUACAACCUCCCCUCCGAUCCCUAAUUAAGCCACUCUCAAUUGAAACCUCAAAAUUACCGAAAUCAAUUGCUGCUUUUUUUACCCGUACGUUGCUACGGGACAAUUAAUAUUUUAUAUUUAAAACAUAUAGAUCACACGAUAAGAUAAUAAAUCCAUAAUAAAAAUAUUAUGAACAAAACAUUCAAAGUGUCAUUUUUAUAACAAUAAUAUAACACAUGUUCAAUUUUCAUUAUGCCAUCACACGAGUAUGUAUACAACAUAUCUUUGUAGAGUCUGAUAAACCAUUUUAAAAUACCUAGGAACAACAACAAUAUAUGACGUUAGUGAGAUAUUAUUUGUGCAAUAUAAAUUGAAUGAAAAAAAAUACAUUGUAUGCAUUAGUAAUAUUCUGUUACCUCACUUACGGUGUUAGAACCUCCUUAAAUACAAUAUUCUUCGUGAAAGUUUACACAAAUAAAUAUCUCGGGGAUAAUGUUAUAUUGUUUUGUCUAAUGCAACGUAUUAUGUAUCUUUACUUAGAUAAUCUAACAACAUCUUUCACAUGACAUUUCAUACAUCUAGUCUAGUUUAGUUGAUACAAUCCAUAUACUUAUACGUGAACAACAAAUUAAACCCUAAGUUGGACACAAAAUUAGGAUAUAUGUAAGUUAGCAAGAAACAUUCAUAUUUGGCCUCUCCUUUAUUCAUUCCAAAGUUACAAUGAUUGGCUACUCUAAUGUCAAUGCUUAUGUCUCAGUUCUUGUUUGUUCAGUCAUCAUUUGUGUUUUAUAAGGCAAAUAGGGCAUCUUGUGAUAACUCCUAGUAUCUAAAUGGCUCUAUUCCACAACCUAACACUCUUGCGCGCGCGCACACACACAUGAUCCUUUAUGUGAACUUAGCAUAGCUUAGCUAGUUGAGUUCCACAUGGUGGAACUUGCCUACAACUCUAUUUGAAGUCCCCGAUUUGGCAUAUGUGCACAUAUUUUUCUAGAUUUACUCCAAUGUCUGAGCGGUGUUUUUGUUUUAGUGGUAGGCAACAUGCCUAUCCAAUAGAGUAUGUACCUUCAUAAGUAAGGAUUGAUUCACAAAAGAUGGUCCUUGAUUAUGGCUAGUGUAGCGCCAUAGCAAAAACUGCCACCACUCCCAUCCACUCGUGAACCCAUCCUCAUCUAUUACCCCUAUAGGUUUAAUGGUAGGCGAGAUGACCAUCCGGUUGAUCCUUGAAUUGAUUAUGGCUAGUGCAAUGCCAUAUAGCAGAAGCCAUCGCCGCUGCCAUCCACCCUGACUGAUUUCAUCCUCAUCUAUUACCACUAUAGCUUCAGUGGUAGGCAACGUAUUUAUCUGGUGGACUAUAUGUGUUUACAUUCAUAAUUGUUAUUCACAAAACAUGCUCCUCCAUUAUGGCUAGUGCAGUGCAAUAGCAAAAGUCGCCGCCGCUGCCAUCCACUCUUAUGUGAAUCCAUCCUUACCAUUGUUGGUAAACUGGUAAAGUGAAUUAUCUUUUAGUGAAUAGGAAGAAUUUUUUUGACAAAUGAUGCUGAGAAAGCCUGAUGAUUCCAUCAAUCGGAGCGCAUUGAGCAACAAAUUGACUUGUACAUGACAAACUUUAAGCAGAUUGAUAGCUGAUCGAUGAUAGAUAACAAAACCAAACUAAUUAAUAAACCCCAUCAUUGUGUGAUUCAUACGUCAUACUUUGAAAAAUCAGCAAGAUAACAAAAGGUUCUCAGUACAUGCGCGCAGUUCCGAUCCUAAAAUGCAUCCACCAGACCACUAACAAGGUUUCCAUAAGCUCCACUUCACUUGUGACGUUGGAUACGAUCAGUUCGUCAACAACACUUCUGGUUUGCACUGGAAAUCCCACUCGUAUGUACGUCGGCCAGGAUGGCAUACAGCACUCUGCGGAGGCAUUAGGUCACGGUGAGUAAUGGGCUAAUGGCAUUAGGUCACGGGCCAUUCUUCCCCAGUGCUUAUCCUCCCCGUGCAUUAGUAUUUGACCUUUAAUUGCCCAUGAUUAGUGUGUGGCGGCUGCGCAAAUGACAAGGGGUCACAAUCUCACAGAUAUAUUGGAAAAGGGAAUCGCGAUAGCACCCCAGCUGAAUUUGUGUAUUAUAUAGUCCAGAUUAUUGUGAGUCCUAAGAUUAACUUUUCGAUGCAAAUCAUGUAUAAUGCUAGGUCCUAGGACACGUAUGUAUCCACCAUGGAAGGGCUCAUGGGACUUGACAUUUUUUGGAAAGAAAUUUCAGUUAAAUUGAUUUUAUAUCUUGGGAAAAGCUAUAGUUUACUUAGACUAGUAAAACUAACAAAUCUUGCGAUAGUCUCAUAUCUCAUGCAUUUAGACAUUAUUUUUCUACGCAAAAGAUUUACACGAACACGAACGAAUUAAGAAGGUCACGGAAAGAAGGUGACAAAGAAGCUCCUCCUUCAAUCAACAAAUAAAGGAGUUUGCACUUUGUGGUGUUUUGCUAGACUAUCUAAAAUGGUACACUCUCCUUCAAUCAACAAAUAAAGGAGUUUGCACUUUGCGGUGUUUUGCUAGACUAUCUAAAAUGCUACACCUCAUAAACAGGUUUUCGUCCCAUCUAGUAAGUAGAAAGAAAGACAGAGUUGUAGAUAAGAAAAACGUAAAAGAGAAAGUACAGAAACAAAUUCAAGGUUUCUCAUACAAAACAUAAGACUAGGUCGUAGAAAAAAAAUGCCGAGAAAAAACUUUAAGAUAGAAAUACAUAAAAUUCUUGGAGGUAACUUUUUUUUACUCCCCGUAUUAAUUUAUAAGUUAACAAACACUAUAUUUUAGAGAACAAAAUAUGAAAAACUUUUGAAGAUGCUCAUCAAAAUCAAAAUUUUGUUACCACGUGACAAUCGCUACAAAUAAGAAAAAAAAAAGUUAAAAAGACAACUCUCGGCCGCCACUGACAUGUAGACAGCGCACAGCGAUGCUCCCCAAAAGAACAAAAAUGAAAAAACUAUUCAAGAAUUUGGGAUCGACCACGAUGGGACUCGAACCCACAAUCUCCCGCUCCGGAGGCGAGCGCCUUAUCCAUUAGGCCACGCGGUCAAAUUGUUGUUAUCUGCAGAUUUGUAUGGUAUCUAUACAAUAAAAAAUACGAGAGUUGGGCUUCCGUGACAAGAAGCCCAUCGGCCCACGAGAGUAUACUACGGAUACAUUCACAAAAAAAAAGAAAAGAAAAAAAAAGAAAGAGUAUACUACGAUACGAGGCCUUGAAAAUUUUGCAAAAUCGACCUCCUUGUGCACACCGCCGCCGGCCGCCCCCCGCUUGCCCGUCCUCUAGCUCCGUGCCUCCGUCGGCCGUCCUUAUCCUCCACCUCUCGCGCUGGCGCACCGCUGCGGAGCUGUUCCAGCGCCGCGCAGGAAUCGGAUCUUCCGCGCGUCGGCGGCUCCCCCUCGGCGGCGUCCAGCGACGGAGGGGCAGUCCAGGCUCGGCGGCGGCGUCGAAGGCUCCCCCUCCCGGCUCUCGCCAGUCGCCUCGCGCCCUCGCCUCCGUCCUCCGCGCACCGGCCGGCGACUCUGCGUACGCACCUCCCUCUCCCCUCCCGCCUCUACUGUAAGUGGGAGCCCGGCCAGCUGCCCAGGGUGGCCGGGCCUUGGCUCCGCCGGUCAUACCCUGGGUUCAGGGUCUGCCAAUGCUCAGUCCUCACCCAGUCCCUACCUCCUUACCACAGAUCAUGUCGAGAGCCUUAGCCCGUCGCCCAGUACCUCCUUUCCUGAAACUUCGCUCCACAGUGUGCGACGACGGCUACUGGAUGGGAAGAUUGGAUCACAAGGACUGGCUCGCCCCAAAUGAGGUGCUCAAGAUAUUUGCAAACAUCAGGGACCCUAGCCUAAUAAACAGUGUAUUCAAGAAGGCAUGCAGCCGGAUAGACUACAAGCCCAGCGAGGCGCUAUACAGCUUGAUGAUUGACAAGCUGGCCUUCGCCAGGAGGUUCAGUGAUGUGGAGGAGUUGCUGUCCAAAGCCAAAACUGAAAAGUUGAGGUUUUCGGACGAGUUCUUCUACAGGCUGAUCAAGAUGUACGGCAACGUGGCAGAACAUCCUCAGAAAGCCAUCGACACGCUCUUUGCAAUGCCUGGGUAUAAUUGUUGGCCUUCUACCAAGACGUUCAAUUAUGUUCUUCACAUGCUUGUGUGCAAGCGGCAGUACGAGGUUGUUCAUGAGAUCUACUCGAGCGCGCCCAGGCUUGGGGUGACAUUGGACACCUGCUCCUUCAAUAUUCUUGUCAAGGGUUUGUGCCAAUGCAGUAAAUUUGAUGAGGCUAUCUCCUUGCUGCAUGAGAUGCCGAAGCAAGGGUGCCAGCCUAAUGUGGCGACCUACUCGACCUUUAUGCAUUUCCUUUGUCAGCGUAGUCUGGUUGAUAAAGCAUUUGAGCUGUUUGAGAGAAUGCGGAAGCAGGAUAUCGCUGCAGAUACAGUUGUGUACAAUAUUUUGAUCUCUGGUCUCUGCAGGGAGGAAAGAGUGUCUGAGGCAUUCGAUCUCUUCAAAUCAAUGACUUCUGAAGGGUGUUAUCCUAAUUCUGGGACUUAUCAGGUACUUCUCGAUGGUCUCAUCAGUUUAGGAAAGUUUUUUGAAGCCAAAAGCCUUGUUAGCACUAUGAGUACAGAAGGUGUGAGGCCUAGUUUCCAAUCAUACAAGCUACUGAUUGAUGGCCUCUGUAGUGAGGACUGCGUGGAUGAUGCACAUCUUGUCUUGAAGCAAAUGGUGGGCCAAGGUUUUGUUCCUCGGAUGGGCACUUGGACAAAACUUCUCACAUCCAUCUUCUAAUUUUGGUUUUCACAUCAGUGAUUUCCUUGGCCUGACAAGACACAUGAACGGAAACUUCAAAUUUUACCAGACUCCUGAAUGAGGGUCGUCAAGUUCUGUUAGAGGAGCAAGUGGACAAAUGCAGGCUUGAGUUUGUGCUUGUAGUCUUGUGUACCACGGCUAUAUGAAUGCUGCCUGUACAUGAUUAUAGUUUGGUGUUAGCUUCCACGGAUGUCAACCUGAAAUAUAUAAGGCUGACAAAAAAAUCCAUUCAAUUUUGUAGGUUUGCAGCUUCAAAUUUUAAAAAACCUUUCAAAUACUCAAUGAAAUAUCAAUCUGAAUCCACAUCUAUGCAUUUGCAGGUGAUUUAUGCUUGGGCAGUUGAAUAACUAAUCUUCUAUGGACCUCUCCUGCAUUGUGAAUUCAGUUUCCAGGCUAACAAUAUGAAGAUGCAUGCCAUGAGUCUUUUUGGCCUUUUACAUCCUUGAAGAGGAACAGAGCAUCCUAAAUAGUUAGCUUCUUAGCUCUUCUGUUUUCUGUUCGUCUCCUUAACUAGCCACAUGACUAAUAUAUUCUGCUCACUAGGUUGCCUGAUAGUCAUGAAAUCCACAUGUUAGCCUUGUAAACUGUCCGUGGAGAACUAUGUGGAUCUGUACGUACAAGAUGGCCUUUUAAGCCCACUAGAUGAAGAUUUUCAAACUAUUACUCUCAGCAAUUUACUUGUUGCAGUUUUAUUUGCAGUUUUGAUCCGAUCUAAUAUCUAUUCACAUCAGGGAAAGAAUCUGGUGACCAAGGAAGCAGCAGCAUUGGACCAUGCUAUCACUGUUUGACUGAAAAGCCUGGGUUAAAGCCUGAAAGCCAGAUAUGCGUUUUGUGCAUUGCAUUACUGCAGUUGUUUUGCAAAGCGAACAAUUGUUCGGGUCUGCAUAAAGUUGCUGUAAAUGGUUCAUUCACAAAUUACAGUCGGGGAAGUGGGCACAGCAAUAUGCUGUUGAGAAAUUAGAAUUACUUGGAACAGCAAUAUACGUAUGUAACUGCGUAUGUAGUUGUGAUGAGAGGGAGUUGUGGUGGUCCGCAAACACCAUUUCAACUAUUGUUUGCAUUUGUUGUAUAAAAAAAACUAUUGUUUGCAAUGUACUUAGCCAGCCAUGUGCACCUGCUGCUAUUUUUUUUUAAAAAAAACAAUUGUUUGAAAAUGAUUAGCAUAUUCGAUGCGGGGUGUUGGAUAUCAAAGCGAUGUGAGAAAAUCGACUUUAACAGUGUAUUUCGCAUAAAAACGUGCUUCCUAGUGUUCAAUGGGUAAAUUUCUGCUCGCCUUUGGACAGGCUUAUUUCGCAUAUAGGCCAAAUGUUUGUUUCGUGUAGAGAAUACUGCAUGCCACAGCCAAAAGCAGGGCAGCCGAUCAGGUUUAUGUUCUUGUUCCUGUGCCUAUACGGCUAUACCUCAGAAUCCUGUGCAUGUUUGAGGAGCAUGUGGUGAACUGUUUUCUGGGAUGGGACGAGGGGAUGCCAAUCAGGCAUUCAGUGGCAGAUCAUCAGGCAGCUGUCAAGCCUGCAAACGAACAUAUAAAAAGGUUCUUGUUUUUUUUUUGGUUGUUUUCAUUCACAUCAUUUCGUUUCGCCCAUAUCACUCAUCCUUUUUCUGCCGCCGAGCAUGACUAGCUCGCCAAUAGCUAGCUGAUGGCCCAGUCGAUCGUCACCAAAUCAACACGAACCAUCGCGUCCUUACCGGCUAUCGGCUAUCGGCUAUCGUCCUCAGGUUCUGCCAUUGUUGCUUGUUUGGCCACCACCCAACUCCCAGGCGAACACGAGUAGUUGCCCAUUGACACUGGAAGGCAGGUGCCGGUGCACUGGCUGCUCCUGCUGUGUGUGAUGGGCCAUCCGUCACCACACCGGUAUUGAGCCGUGACCAAACUUUUGUCGUCACGUCACCGAUCGCGAGCCUCCCAAGUCCCCAAACGCCGAAACGCGCACGAAAAUGAGCCCAGUGCUUGGCUGCUUUAUUACAGGCGUUAGGCAGGAUGCGAUCAAGUCGUCGUGCUGAGUCCAGCACAGCUACGGAAGAUUCCAAGAAGCAAACAAGAAAACAAAGAGAGAGAGAAGAGAAAACGAGAGGAACGGGAAUCAUCAAUGAAUACGGAGUACGUUUUUAGAAUAAAAUGCAUAUAUUUUGCAGCCUAACACACUACUCCUCCGAUGUCUGAUUAGGCAUGGUUAGAUUAGGUACCAUCUCUCAAUCUUGCGCACAGUAGCGUUGACCAUUUGCCUAGUUAGUUAAUGGUUGGACAAUAGUUGCCAAAUACAGAAGAAAGUGCUACAGUAUCUAAAACCAAAAAAUUUCUCCAACUAAGGGACUGUUUAGUUGGUGAAAAAUUUUGGUUUUGGAUACUGUAGCACUUUUGUUUGUAUUUGAGCCUGUUCGCUGGUCUGAAAGCCAUGACUGAAAGUAUUGUACAUUGAUUUAUUAUGAGAUAAAAAAUACUACUGGCAGGCAGAAAAAACACGGCUUAUAAGACAAGCGAACGGAGCUGUUGUCCAAUUAUAGACUAACUAGGCUCAAAAUAUUUGUCUCGCAAAUUACUGAUGAAUUAUAUACAAUUAGUUAUUUUUUACUUAUAUUUAAUGUUUCAUGCAUGUACUGUAAGAUUCGAUGUGACAAAAAAUCUUGAAAUGGUAGAAUUUUUUCAGGAAUAAUAGCCCCCAAACAAAGCCUUGAGGCCUUGUUUAAUUGUAUUUUUUUUAAAUGGACACUAUAGUAUUUUCGUUUAUAUUUGAUAAAUAUUGUCAGAUCAUGAACUAACUUAGACUCAAAAGAUUCGUCUUCUAAAUAUAGACAAACUAUGCAACUAGUUAUAUAUAUAUAUGCGCUACAUGUAUGUGUCGUAAGAUUCAUCAGAAAUUUUUUUAAAAAAUUACAAAAUUUUUAAGGCCUUGUUUAGUUCAUGAAAUUUGUUGGUUCGGGAUACGGUAGUACUUUCGUUUUUAUUUGGUAAUUAUUGUUCAAUCAUAGACUAACUAGGUUUAAAAAAUUUAUCUAGUAGUUAUAGAUAAACUGUGCAAUUAGUUUUUAUUUUUGUCUAUAUUUAAUACUUUAUGCAUGUGCCACGAGAUCUGAUUUGAUAGAGAAUUUUAAAAAGUUUUUGAUUUUAAACAAGGCCUCAUUAUCGUUUUGCUGCAGUGUUUUUCCUGCUCUGAGAAUCCUCCGUUGUCGGAGGGCACAUCACUGCACUGACGCUUGACGGGGCGGUCAAGUACACACCAAGCCGAACCUUCACGGGCAGCAAAAAGAAACUCGUAGACGGCUGGAGUGGACGACGAAGCCGCCGUCGGUCCAUCACGUGACGCGAGCAACGCGGAGGAAUUGGAAGCCUUGUUUAGUUCUUAAAAAAAUUUACAAAACUUUUUAAAUUCUUCAUCACAUCGAAUCUUUAGACGCAUACAUAAAGUAUUAAAUAUAGACGAAAAUAGUAGUUCAUGAUCAGAUAAUAUUUAUCAAAUAUAAACGAAAAUGCUACAAUAUCAACUUUUUAAAAAAUUGUUGGAACUAAACAAGGCCAACUGGAACUGGGGCCUGGCCCCCUGGCCCUGGCCGCGGAGAGCCACGCCAAUUUGACUCGCACAAAUCCUGGCAGCUUUCUCGAUGCCAAGCUACCCCACGUCCUGUACAAAACUCGCAACGCAGCUUCUGAAUUUGGAGGCACUCAAAGCUCGCGAAAACCGCCAUUACAAGCUUGCGCCCGCUUCGAGUCCUGCUCAAGCAUCACUCACACUCACAGGGACAGGGCACGGCAACUUUCUGCGCUCAGGUGCCCGUUCUGUUCUUGUCAUCACACCAAACGAGCGGGCAGCUAGCAGAAACCAGAAAACACAACAGAGUUUGGCCGAUGGGAUCACUACUCACUGCUACGAGGAAAUUACCAGGGGAUUAGUUUUUUCUUUUAAAAAAAUAGCUGUUUUGUUUUUUUUGGCAAAUUCUCAGGAAUACGUAGUACGGAGUACUGCAUGCCAGCCAACUACACGCAAAAAGGAGAUUCAUUGGACAGAAGAACAAAAAAUGUGAAAAGAUUCUGGUACAGUAGCACCCCACAUGUGCUUAUUAUGACGACCCGACCCGGUAGUAUAGAAAUUAGAAACGCAAACGCCCCUCCCGACGACUUGCUCCGCCUCCAUCUCCUUCUCCUCCCUCCCUCCCUCCUCAGCUGCUGUCACCUGACCUCCCUCCCUCUCCGCGUCGCUCCCCAUCCCGUCCCAUCUUGGCCUGGACACCUGGGCUGCCCCCCCUUCGUUUCCGCGCGCGCGGACACGCUGAGUCGCCGCCCGAAUCCUCCCGCCUCCCCGCCGCUGCCAACGUCGAUCUGCGACCGCGACUCCGCGCGAGGUGGGGUGAGCGAGUUCCCUCGCCGUGAUCCAGUUUUCUUUCCCCCCGUCGUUUCUUGAGCUCUCGCCACGCGUUUUGGGUGUUGUUAUUCGCCGACACUGGUGCCUUUUCUCCGUGUUGUUCAUGGAGAUCCUUCUGUUCUGUCUGCGUGUGUACCUCUACUUUGAUGCACAUGCAAAGGUUUGAUCUUGAGAUGGAUUUUAAUCGUGCGUGGGUCGCGUGGUAUGCAGAUUCAGAAGGUAGGAGGAGGGGAGACGAGUUCCUGUCGGUUUCAUUCUUGGCCGCCGACUUCACAUGCCAACAACCCCAAGAAGCAGAAGCCAGGCUAGGACCACUAGGCCUUGGAUCUUGUCAGGUACAUCAAUUCCUUCCCGGCUUUACGCUCCUCUCUGUUUCCCCCCUUUUUUGCUUCUAUAAUAACUCCAAUGAUCUGUCUUUAAACAGCAAAGAGGUGAUUUUUGACCACUAAAUUUCAAACCGAAAUGCCAUCCUUUCAAGUUUACUGUGCACCACAAAAAAGAAUAUAUAUAUAUAUUAAAAAAAAACUGAACUAGCUGGUCAUGUAAAUUUACUUUCUAUUGUGUGCUGGACCUUCAAAUGUUUUUAGUACAAAACCAAUAAACACAUGAGACUGCAUAUGUGAAUCCCCAAACUUGUGUGCUGGACGUUCAAUUUUUUUUUGUACAAAACCAAUAAACACAUGAGACUGCAUAUUUGAAUCCCCGAAAAUGAGUGGUGCUGAGUAGAAUUAACUGAUCUUUCGCGCACUCGGACCACAAUUGAACCAGCCAUCAUAUUUUACUUUGUGCAACUUUUAAAUUUCUCCCUGUCUUUUUCACAGGGAUGGACUUUGCUGAUUCGCGACGGAAGCCUAAUUUCACGGGGAAGAUUGCCGUGGCAGCUGCACUCACGGUGAUGUGCAUAAUCGUGUUGAAACAGUCCCCCAGUUUCAGCGGUACCAGCGUGGUACGUGCUGAAUCUCUCCACAAGAACUACCCCCCAUGUCACUGUCGCUUGCUGUUGAGUUGGCACUACUUGUCAUUAUUCCUUCUUCCAGACGACUUAAGUACACUGCUUAUUUUCCAUGGAACAUCAACGCGAUGGGUUCAUGUGGGAACUGCCAUUAUGGUGAUUGGAUGAGACAUUUGUGCGAUGAAUGAUGCCUUCUAUUCUCAUGGUUUAAUGCUUGCUGUUGUAACUCUAUUGUGCAAGGGUUAUUUUAUCCUGAUACAUUAUUGUGACUGGGUCAUUUUACUAAUACAUCUGUGCUAUUGUACCAGGGUUAUUUUACUGAUACAUAUAAGCAUCAUUUGUUCUUGAUAGUUAUAACUCUGUCACAGUUGCACAGUUUCAGUAAUUUCCUAGAAGUCGUUCAAUUCAUGCGUGUAGUUCUUUAUUAAUAGUUUUUUUUAAUCUUUCCAACUGGAGGCAUUUUGUUGAUGCACUCACAUUUCCUGCAGUUCUCUCGCCGUGAAACUGGGGUGACCCAUGUGUUAGUAACAGGGGGAGCUGGGUAUAUUGGCUCACAUGCUACUCUUCGUCUCCUUAGUGACAACUACCGAGUUACCAUUGUGGUAAUCUCUUAUUCCUAUCUCCCAUUCCAUUCCUCACUAACAGUCUGAUGGUAACAGCAACUAAUGUUUACAGGAUAACUUAUCAAGAGGGAACAUGGGAGCUGUUAGAGUUCUUCAACGGCUAUUUCCAGAACCUGGAAGGCUUCAAUUUAUUUAUGCUGAUUUGGGCGAUGCCAAAGCUGUAUCCUUCCUUUGAAGUUUAAUAACUUAGUGCUCCCCCUCCCCUUACAUAAAAUGUAUUGCUGAGAUUUGUUUUGCACUUAACCAAUAAUCAGGUGAACAAAAUAUUUUCGGAGAAUGCAUUUGAUGCUGUUAUGCACUUUGCUGCUGUUGCUUAUGUUGGUGAGAGCACAAUGGAGCCACUCAGGUAAAGGCUUGUUCUAGGCAUGUAAUAUGCUGGUUUUCUUUUUUUUGCUCAAGUAUUUCAAAGCUUCUGUUGAUUUUUCUUUGAUGUGUAUGUGGUAUUUUGUUAAAUUAAAUUAAAUUUAUAAUGGAAGUCCACACGAUUUUUGUCAUUCUUGGAAGCCUAUCUUCAUCUUUAGCUCAAAAUGCUUCUAUAGUUUAAAUGGAUGUAGUGCAGGUUUGAUUUUUUUUUGUUCCAACUGUUUUCUAUGCUGCUUCCUUGGUAUUAGCUCACCGUGCAAAAGUCAUGUGCAGAAAAUGUUGUUCUUCCUAACCAACUGUAUAUACUCUGUUAACACUGCUAUAACAGGUACUACCACAACAUAACAUCAAACACAUUGACAGUUCUUGAGGCAAUGGCAGCACACAAUGUAAAUACUCUGAUUUACUCGAGUACAUGUGCAACCUACGGUGAACCUGAUACGAUGCCUAUUGUAGAAACAACUCCUCAGGUUAGCCUCUCAAUCCAUGAGUUUUUACCUUCCUUAAUUUUAUAGAUGCUGUCAUGAUUCUAACUAUUUUCUAAACCACUGCAGAAUCCUAUCAAUCCAUAUGGUAAGGCAAAGAAGAUGGCAGAGGACAUCAUCUUAGAUUUUACAAAAUCAAAGAAACAAUCAAACAUGGCUGUCAUGAUUUUAAGGUUGGUUUUCAGCAGCCUAUAUUAGAUUGCAAUACAUGGAAUAGUUCUAACCUCUUUCCUGCUCUGUAUAAAUUAGAUACUUCAAUGUGAUUGGAUCAGACCCAGAGGGACGUCUAGGAGAAGCUCCAAGGCCAGAGCUUCGUGAGCAUGGACGGAUAUCUGGUGCUUGCUUUGAUGCAGCUCUGGGAAUCAUUCCAGGGCUAAAGGUAUUCUACAUGCUCAUUUCAGUGCCGUCAGUUCCCUCUUUUACUCUUGUAUAAUUAGCUGCAUCCAUUAAUUUUACAUGAAUAACAAUCAUAUAUAUUUGAUUCUUUGCUCUUUCAGGUUCGUGGAACUGAUUACCCCACUGCAGAUGGAACUUGCAUUAGGGACUACAUCGAUGUCACAGAUCUUGUAGAUGCCCAUGUCAAAGCUCUUGGUAAAGCUGAGCCAGGCAAAGUUGGAAUCUACAAUGUCGGAACAGGACAAGGUUGUUGAAAGAUCAAUAACCAAUAACCAGAUCAAAAAAAUUUCAGAGAAAGAUACCCUUUUAUUUAAGAUCAUAAUCAUAUGCCUUCCUCUGUCUCUGAACAUGGUGUUUUUUUGUCUUAUCAGGUAGAUCAGUGAAUGAGUUUGUGAAAGCUUGCAUGAAGGCAACAGGAGCUUCCAUCAAGGUUGAAUAUCUUGCCCGUAGACCCGGAGAUUAUGCUGAGGUAUACAGUGAUCCAUCGAAAAUCUACAAGGACCUCAACUGGACAGCCCAAUACACUGAUCUUGGCCAAAGCCUUGCCCAGGCAUGGAAAUGGCAGAAAGCGCACCCAAACGGAUAUGGAUCAGCCUGAUUCAGAGUUCAAAGGUUGAGAGACUCAUCACGCAGAUCCAAGGGGUCUAUGUGCAGUGAUAUAGCCUUCAGAUAAUUGGUUCUUCAACAUAGAAACAUAGCAAACAGCAACACAAAAGUCGUGAUUCUUUUAUUGCAGUGCUGGAAGAAGACAAAAGUAUCACAGAGAGAAUGCACUACCUGUUCCUUGAUUAGUUUCAUAUAUAUAGGUCCUCUUUUUGUUGUUGACAUUUUAAUAUAUUUUGAUGUGUGCUGAGGCACUAUAUAAUAACACAAAUGAAAUUGUGUUGUAGACAGGGUUAGAUCAAUCUCGUGUAUCAACCUUCGUUGUGGUAGAAUGAAAGGAUAUAAAUAAGUUGAUGUAUGUUUUUGUUUCCCAACUUGUUUCAAGUCUACACAAGGCCUGAUUGUGCCAGGUUCAGCGAGCUGAGCUCCUUGUGUUUUGAGAUACAUUGAGUCAGUGACACAAGCAUUUCUUUGAAAGGUGGUCUCACAUGCAAAUAUUAUACAGAGAACAUGUGAUUACAUUCAUGAUCGCUCAAAAAAAAAAAGGAAAGAAAAACAAAAGAGUGCUGGUUUAGUCAGCCCGAAGCCCCCAACAUCACAUGGGAGGGUCUUGGUCGUUCCAUGUGGACUUGUAGGCUCAUGACAGAUAUCCCAUGGAUGUAGAGAGCUAGAGGAACGCCCCCCUAUUUGUGUGUACACUUGUUCAUUAACUCACUCUACAAGUUCCACUUAUGGAUCCUCCUCCCCUCUAUUUUAGUUGGUUCAUGCCUUCUAUAAAGCUUACCAACAGUUGGGACAGAUAGACAUGUAAAUUGGGUUUGCAUAAUCCCAGUUAAUUCUUCCUUCACCUUUGCCUCCUUAUAGGCUACCAGCAUCAGAUCUUAGACUGCCUAAACAAGUCAAGGACCUGGUGACACUGACAUGUCACACGAUGAUGCUGAUCUGGCGAGGCAAAGUGGCCAAAUAGGGAAAUCACACGCAAUUCACAUGCCCAUUCCGUCAAUUAAAUUGGUAUAACAUGUAGUAGGAGCACUAAAAAGGCCCAAAGGGAGAGUAUACCAGCAAUCUAAGCAACCCAUGAAUCCAAAAACACACGCAUGGACACUAAGUCAAACAUAGCGGGGGCGUUCCGUAGUUUCGAUGAACUCACCGACAGGUAUGUUCUCAGUUUUUUUCUGAAUUCGGAAGUCGGGGGCGUCGUCGUCGUCAGAAGAAAUCGAACCAGGCCUCGAGAUACGAGAGCACGAGCAGGAGCAUCAGGGGCAGCAGCCUCUCAGGUCCAGCUGCGUACCACAGUAAGGCGCCCGCGGCGUCCGCGGCGCGGCGGACGAGAACCGGAGGCCGCGCGCCUGGCGCCCGCAUGCCGUACAUGACAAGCAGCAGGCCGCCGGACAUGAGCCCAAGCGCCAGGAUGACUUGCCACGUGGUGAAGGGGUCCAGAGGCGUGCCGCCGGGGUCGUUGCGGCCGACGACGACGAGCAGGAGGUACGACAUGGCGGUGGCCACGGCGGCGAGCCCGGUGCCGACGAAGUCGGCGCGCCCAUGUAGCUCGCGCCCGUUCCUCGCGCGAUCCAUGCGCUCGUACGUCCUGGAGCGUCGGCGGGCGUCGGCGCGGCGGAGUGCUGACGCCGGUGGGUGUACUGGGCACUCCACCUGCUGCUGCUGAUGAUGAUGAUGAUUUCUUUUCCGCAACGGCGGCGAUCUUUGCGGUGGUUGCCAGCAGCAGAAGCGCGGUGCAGCUUUAGACUCGAGCAAGGCUGCAUAUAUAUAUAUAUAUACCAGCCGGCCAGCCGGGGAAUGCAGUUUCAUAGAAUUAGCACGGAAAUUGUACUUCCCAAAUGAGAACUGAGAAGUAUCUGGGAAGAUGUACUCUGCUUGUCGGAUUGAUGCGACGAAUGCGGCAGAUUCUUUCUCGGACGUUUCCUUUCCUAUAACAUUUUGCAAUGCGUCGAUUCAUGCAGCGCAAAUUGAAAUCGAGCAAAUGCUGAAUUCUCUAUGGACAGUUGAAAGCAUAUACAUUUAUGUGGAUGAUACGAUGCAACGUCCAAUUUCACUGCCUGAUAGAUGGUUGUCUUGUCUGGUCCGUGAUUGAAACUCUGAACGCAUCUCUUGAAUGAGUGGGGAAACAAGAAUACUCUGAACUCUGUUCAUGUAUAAUUGUUCCCAAUAAAACUAAUCUACAGUUUUUGCUGUGUAACCUGCUAAGUUACAAUCAUUCAAGGAUCAUUGUAGAACCUACAGUACUUUUGGUUUCCGGCAACAGUGAUGAUGAACGUGCAAAUGUUGCAGGAAAGCGCGCCAGAUCGGACAACAAAAGAAGAUUUACAAAUAUUAUAACACUGCUGCAGUCUGUUAGUCGUCUUCAGUUCAUUUUAUUUUACUUGUUUUACUUCAGUAGUAUACUCCCUCCAGUCUUUGCUAGAUACAUUAAUUUUAGUAUCUAUGUAGACAUAAUUUAUAUAUAAGUAGGUAACAAAAUCUAUAUAUGUAGAAAAGCCACACACAAAAAUAUAGGGGAUAAGACCACUUCCGGCAUUGCUAUGAUAAAGAAAAGACUUUCUCACACAGGUUGAGAAAACUCCUAAACCCAAACCCCACCCUAACACAGGGGCACCGUUGCCUAUUGAGAACCAAGCCCCUGUGCUUUGGUCAUGAGAUAGAUGAGGAGAUUUUUUUAAUCAUAUCUUAAAAUUCGCUCCCAUGGGGAAAUGAAGAUGAAGAAUUUUUUUAACCAUAUCUUGAAAUUUGCUCCUCUGAAAAGUCAAAUCCAGGGCCUAUGGAGUGCCGCUGAAUCAGAUGGACUGUAGUCUCAUUGGCCAAAAUCUAUGUAUCUAAAAAAGAUGGUCAUUUCAAUUUGAUUACAUGUCCAUUCGUUCUGAAAUAAAAUAAAAUACAAACUGAGCCAUUGUCCUUGCAUGCUUCUGAAGUUUUAAUAGUUUCCAUGCGAAUACUUUUUUUAAAAGUUCUUGCUCCUAUUGAUUUUUUAGAUUUCUCUAGGAUACUCAGGCCUUGUUUAGUUUGCAAAAAUUUUGCUUUUUGGUAACUGUAGCACUUUUGUUUUUAUUUGACAAACAUUGUCCAAUCACGAAGUAACUAGGUUCAAAAGAUUCAUCUCACAAAUUACAAGUAAACUGUGCAAUUAGUUUUUAUUUUUGUCUAUUUUUAAUGUUCCAUGCAUGCGACUAGAGAUUCGAUGUGACGGGGAAUCUUGAAAAUUUUUGCGAACUAAACAAGGCCUCAUCUUAGGAAUGCAACAUCCAUUGUAUGUUGCUGAAUCCAGUUGUUCGGAUAUUUCAGAAGGAAAAGGAGAUGCAACUGAAGAAGGAGACAGGUAGUACGCAGUAGAGCUAUUAUUUGUAAAGCGAAAUUGUAAGCAGGAUUUUUUAUACAUAAUUGAGAAGGAUUCGAUUUUUCCCUGAAACUCUGAUGGUGGGCAUGGAUGGGCACAUGGACCAUGCGUGGCCAUCGCCAUGGCGAUAUGACCGGUUGCAAUAAAAAACACACUAGCUUCCAAAUGACCCACGUCGGUUAGAAUUUAAGGAUUAAAGAUCCUCCCUUCCUAAAUUCCCUAGCAUGAUUUUUUUCUUUGGAAAAUGACACUGUUUUCUCAAUAUAGUUUCACGAAAGCUAAUUAAUUGUUCUGAACGUCAUUUAGAAAGCGAAGCCGGCAAAGCCGCUGGAAGCUAAACAAAUUAAAUGGCCUGGAGCCAAGAGAUGUAACGUCAGUCUCACUCGUGUUAUUUAUUUCUCAUGAAGAAUUCACAUGUAAUUGGCUCUUCAUUUAUAUUAAUAAGACGCUGGUAACUUGUAUACCAAUAAGAUCUUGUUUGGAUGUAGUCGGAUUCACAUCAAUCCACAUGUGUUGAGGUGGAUUAGAGUGAACUUGAACUAAAUUUCACCCUAAUCCACACCAACACACAUGUAUUGAAAUAAAUCUGAUAGCAUCCAAACAACACCUAAUGUGGAAGUACUUCCGUCUAAUAAAAACUGGCAAAGCUUUUACCGUUUAAAAAAAAACAAAAUAAUGUGGAAGUAGCCAUGCUGAGCCUUCAUUCUAUGUAGCCGAGGUUGUUGGGCCUUGUUUAGUUCAACCCGAAAACUAAAAAAAUUUCAAAAUUCUUCGUCACAUCGAAUCUUUCGACACAUGCAUGAAGCAUUAAAUAUAGACGAAAAUAAAAACUAAUUGUAUAGUUUAUCUAUAAAUCACGAGGCUAAUCUUUUAAUCUUAGUUAGUCCAUAAUUAGACGAUAUUUGCCACAAACAAACGAAAGUACUACAGUAGCGAAAUCCAAAAUCUUUUCGCAUCUAAACAGGUCUUGGUUUAGUUUGACGUGCCCGUUUCUGUUGAAACAUACUAGCAGAACUGGUUCGGUUUUUUUUCCCUGAAAAAUGCCGAUGGCAUCGACGAGAGCCACAUGCCAUGGCUUCCGUCAGAAACUGGUCUUCCUCAUAUAUGACAGUGUAAACUGAUUGGCUAAAACAACACUACAUAUAUAUUCUUAAAAAGCAAAUCAGCCAUUCAGCCAGUAGCUUCUGCGAAAUACAGCACACAGCAGUUCAGUUCCAUGGAAGGCCUUUGUACUGCAGUUCGUCCAUCCGUGCUCGGCCAGGCGGAUGCCGUACAUGGUGACGUAGGCCUCCUUUAGUGCACGAAAACCUUGUUCAGUUGCGGAAAUGAAAAAAAUUUGGCCACUAUAACACUUUCGUUUGUUUGUAACAAAUAUCGUUUAAUUAUGGACUAACUAGGCUUAAAAGAUUUAUCUCACAAUUUACAAGCAAAUUGUGUAAUUAUUAUUAUUAUUGACUAUAUUUAAUGCUUCAUGAAUAUGCCACAAGAUUCGAUGUGACGGGGAAUCUUGAAAAGUUUUUGGUUUUCUGAGUGAACUAAACAAAGCUAUAUAUUUAUAACUAUAGUAAGAUUCGUUUCACAAAAUACAUGUAAACUAUAUAAUUAGUUAUUUUUUAAUGUAUAUUUAAUGUUCUACGUAUGUGUCAAAACAUUUGAUACGAUAGACAAAAAAAUAGAUAUGCCUUGUUUAGUUCAUCCUAAAAACUAAAAUUUUUCAAGAUUCUUCGUCAUAUCGAAACUUGCAGCACAUGCAUGAUAUAGAUAAAAACAAAAACUAAUUGCACAGUUUGUCGCGAGAUGAAUUUUUUGAGCCUAGUUAGUCUAUGAUUGGAUAAUAAUUGUCAAAUAAGAACAAAAGUGCUACCGUGCCCAAAACAAAAAAAAUAGAACUAAAUAAAGCAAUAGUCCCCUGGUUCCCCUUUGCUCACUUGCACUGUAGUCUACUCUCACAGAGAAAGCUGUCUGCCCCCAUGGUUUCUGCGGCGCAAUUGCCUGCUUCCGGCGAGCCAAGCCCAGCCGAGACGAGACCGGACUGCCGACCCAGACGGCCCAGACCUGCGGCUGGUGGCGGUCCGGUCCUCCGGCUACCGGCGGUCAGGUCACGCGCAGCAGCAAGUCCGCAUCGCUCGUGCGCCGCGCUAGGCUCAUCGGCCAGUCACCGUCCGGCCGAUGUUUUCCUCCUCCUGCCGUCCUACGUGUCGCCGCCGUGUGUCACUGUCCGUCCUUGAAGUCGAAGCAACUUCGCAAUUCGCACGUAGGUUCGCGACAGUCGGAGCGUUUAUUUGGACAUGGUUACUCGCUUGUGUUUAAUAUAAUCGGCAUCAGGUUUGCAGACUUCAGUUAAACAACUAAACCAGGUGCUGCUAACUUGGUUAGCCUUCCAAAAAGGGGAUUUCGUACUCUCUUGUCCUUGUCCAGCUUGUGCCGAGUGCUGACAGGGCUAGUCAAAGCCCAUAUUCUCUUGUAUUUAAUCAGCGAAUCAUGUGGGUACUAUUACCAUCAGUGACAGAGCUCAGAUGGAUCUUCUAGUAGUACCUGAAAGCUGUCAAAUUCCAGAACAGAUCCUUCGCAGCGCAAUUUCUGAGAAAACCUACUGGCUAAUGACAGUGACCUGCAAAGAAUGUCUCCAGAAGGUACUAAUGUUUGUACGUGUCAUAUUUAACUCAACAAGUGAAAUGAAGAUCAAAUCAAGCCUCCAUGAGUUAAGGAUUAACAAGGGACAUAGGGCCUGCAAGUCUGUUCAUUUUUUCUGAAAACCUGUGGCUAAAGAUACUGUUUGCUGAUUUAUUAUAAGAGAAAAAUAUUAUUGAAUGGCUGGUAGAUUCAGCAGAUAAGCUCAAGCGAACAUCGAGAUCUUUACCAACAAAACACACCGCCAACUAGUAGUACUUGCAGCUCCUAAUCUUGUUUAACAUUUGAACAACGGCAGUGGCAGUUGCAACAUGAACCUUUGUUGCUUCCUGCGCUAUCAUCAUGGCUAAGUAUAUAGAGCCAGCCAACACUACACAUGUGUUUCUGCAAUUCCAUGCCUACACAUCAAAAAGGAAAAUGAUGAAACGAGUGAACAUCCCAAGUUCAGUCCGCAUACCAACUCAAUGGCUAAUGUUGAAAAAUAAACUUCGCCUCGGUAUAAUGCACUAGGUUUUUCUUUUGCCUAAAAAGCAACAUUCAGCAACUCAGGUGGUUAUGUUCCAAAAUUUUAUUAUCAUGCACCUGUGGCUUUGUUUUCUGCACAUGGUCUGCAUAAUUUUCCAAUUUAAUUGAGCAAGUACCAAAGUUAAUUUUCCAGUAUUGAUGUACAGAUUUCACUUUUGAUGAAAGCAUAAUACUAGAUCUAGAUGAAAGCAUUUUAUAUUUAAUCACAUUUAUACUUAUGAUGUGUAUAUAUGUAAGUGUUUGUAUUUGUACUGUGAUUUGUAAAAUAAAUGUUAUUGGUUAUUCAUAAUUUUUUAUAAAUAUCUUAUUUUGUGUUUUAUUAAUAAUUUUUGUUAUAUAAAUUUAGUUAAUUAAACUCUAAAGAAUUCAACAUGAGAUUGCUUCUCUUUUGUGUAUCUGCAACAAACUAAGUUCCUGACAACGAGAAAUAGCAGCUGCCAGCUGGUCGAUACAUAGUGUCUGUAUUACUGUAUACUAGCACCAUAAAGCCAUCAACAUCCCCUUGCAUAGUGCAGAUUGAACCGUUCAAUUGGUAAGCCCAAGAAGUACACAAAUUAGCAGCUGGUAGAUACUACUAGGUCAGGUAAACACAACUAACUUUCUGCCACCCAAAAAGGUUACACCUAGCAAUUUCCAGAUGCGAGCUUGUCCUACGCUCCGGCCUCCGUAACUGAGUGAAGGAACAAGGAAACAUGUUAACAUCAGGACAGACAUUCAUCAUCCUGAAAAUUGUGUAACAUUCACUAAUUUAUCCAAAACAAUAAGAAGUCAAACAAGGAGAGUCACUUGCGAUGGAAGUACAGUAAGUUUUAGAAACACACAUCUCUUUGGUUCAAACUGUGGACAUGUCAAAUUAAGAAUAAGAAGACAAUGUGCCAAGCUAUUUGCGCUUCCAACAACAGCUAAGGCAAUAUGCUUUCCGACAAAUACUAAGCAAACAAUUAUCUUGCAAAACAUACAGAAAAUGUAAUAUUUUACCCCCCAAAAAGGUACAGAAAUGAAAUUGUGUAAACAACCACUACAAACCUACAAGAGGAAUCUCCGCAAAAAAAAAAAAAAAAAAAAAAAAAAAAAAAAAAAAAAACAAGAGGAAGGUGGAGCACAGAGUUCAAGUACCAAUGAAAUGUAUCUGGAAAGGAAAAGGCAACGGUACAAUAAAAAAAUAUCAUCGGUUGAAAGAGUCAUCAGACCAUCUAGUACUUUCUCAGUUCAUGCAUUGAUUGCAUGCCUAUUAGACAUUGAUCAAAUAAGUUGGACAAAUGGAAGCCAUCCACCCAAAAUAUGUUGGCUUUGCGAUGUGAGAUCAAGAUAACCUCACUAAAGCAGCAUAGGUCCUUGUAUUUUCAAAAUUAAUGGAAGUGAGAUUAUAAACAUUGAAGUUUGUUGAUCAAAAGCUGAAAGUUCAAAUACAAUGUGGAAAUGGGAGAAUUUACCCAAAAAAAGCAGAAGUAUGAAACUCUGAUUCAACCAUUUCAAACAAUGAAGGUCAAAUUUUACCUGCUCCAAUCACCAUAUUAGAAGCUACUAGUUUCAUCAGUGCUCACUUUCAAAGUAGGAAGUUGCUCGAAUUAUGUAGACCUGCACCACUUGCACAAGAGAAAUUGCUUGGUCAGCAUUAUUACAAUCAAUCAUAGAUUUCGCGUAGUUAGUCCUUAAGAAAAACAGAUGGUACUGGAACAUGACAGAUAAGAGGCCAUGAUAACAUCUGAAUCUGAUAACUGGAAACAAUUGAAGUAAAUUUGUACAAAGGUCAAGUUUGGAACAAGACAGAUUUUUAUUUCUUUCUAAAGAAAAGAACCUGUGAUUCCAUAAAUUUGGGUUAUUCUUAUUCAGUUCCCGGCAACACUCAACCACCAUGCAAGUUCCACUGACGAUUCAGACAUGUUGUUGCUAUGCAAAAUAGAUCUCAAUCACCUUGAACUUUGUCUGCUCAAUGAGUUGGAAGACCAAGCAAUCUCCAUCAUGCAGCUUGUGCUCGAUGGCGAACUCUUUCCAUCCAGUGCUGAGGCCAGCCUUCUUUGCGAGGUAGAGCGUGUCUGACUCGUCACCCUCCUCAUCCACCACCAGGGUGAUCGUCUCAUCACUCUUGGGCAGGUGCUUCCGGCAGAAAUACGUCGGGAGGCCCUGCGAUUUCACACGCCAACCAAACAAGAAUUUAGCACGAUGGGGGAUGAAUUAAUAAUCGAAAACAACAGGACGGUGCCGAACUGAAGCUUCCUCUAAUUUACCAGCCAGAAGCCUCUGGUGACAUGGGACUGUAUCAUGGGCUGGAUGAAGAUGGGGAAGCUGGAGCCCAGAUCUUGCACCAGCUCCUCAGCCUUAGAGAUGGCGUAGCUCCUCUCGGCAGCGUCCAGCGGCACCCUUGCAUUAUACUUGAGCAGCUUCUUGACCCUGACCUGCAGAAAUGCCGAUUGAAUAAAGAAAGGGUUAGCCAGAGAAAAGAAGGCCUCGAGCGACACAAGUUCACACUGACCUGGUAGUACACGGGCUUCUCGGGGAGGUCGGCGAGUCGGCCGGACCGCCGUAGCGGCUCCACGCCGGCGGCGGCACCGUCCCGCGGCACCCGCGCCUUCCACUUCUUGGCCUGCAGAAAAAAAAAAAGCCGAUUUGGAUAAAGUAUGUAUACCCAGAGAAUGACACAGAAAAGAAGGCAUGGAGCGACACAAGAAGCAGCGGUCUGCGGUCAGUCAAGAAUGAAACCGGGACACACCGGCGAGGGUUUGGCAGCGGCGGCGGCCUCUCUGACGGCGGCGGAGAGGCGGUGGAGCUGCAGCUCGUCCAGCUUCCGCUUGUUCGCCUCUACCUGCCUCUGCCGCUGCGCCUCGUACGCCACCGCCACCGCCACCGCUACCGCCUCCGCCAUCUCCCUUCUCGCUUGGAUUUCUUUGAGCAGCUUCUCUCGGGGAGGAGAGCAGUGCAGUGCAGUGCCGAGAAAAAAAAGAAGGACUGGAAUUUGUGGAGCCGAUCCAGGUGCACACGGACGGCACAAGGGCUCUGAAAUUGAAAAUUUGUUAGGAUGCAGUUGGCCCAUCCCUACUUUCUCGAAACCGAACUCUCUUGUGAUCGCGUCGGCCCCGCACGGCGAACGCUCGGGCCCGGCCCAAACUGACAUGAAGGCCCGCCGACCGCCCAGCGUCCUACUCCUACUUUGCAAGCUGUGCUGUGAUGCGCCACCUUUUGUGGGAUUUUGUUCUUGCUUGCCAGCAGUGAUGUUGGGAUGGAUUCGCAGCGGCGGAGGUGCAAAUAAGCUCCGGUUUCUCGCAUGGUGACUGGUUGGUAUUGUCGAGCUCGGACGCGGAAUCGGCCAAGGGGAUGAGGAGUUCGUACCCACUCCAUUCAGUCUGCGAUGCAACAUCGGUUGUGCAGCCGAUGGUCGGUGCUUUUGCUCUGUCUCUCGGGACAAGCUUCUAUUGCGGCUGAUGUAGCCCAUUGUGGCGAUCUGUGUUGAUGCGAACUCGAGGGCUUAUGGUGGCAGUCCUCUUCCUUCUGCUGUUGCUUGGGAGAGAAGCCAAUGGCGAGCUCACCUGUGAUGUGGAGUUUAGACUUUAGGCCGUGUUUAGUUUCUAAAAAUUUUCAAGAUUUCUCGUCAUAUCGAAUCUUGCGGCAUAUGCAUGAUGUAUUAAAUAUACAUAAAAACAAAAUUAAUUGUACAAUUUAUAUGUAAAUCACGAGACGAAUCUUCUAAGCCUAGUUACUCCAAGAUUGAAUAAUAUUUGUCAAAUAAAAAUAAAAAUACUAACAGUGCCAAAAACCUAAUUUUGCGAACUGAACAAGGCCUUAGAGUAUGGAGGGUAGAGGCAGUAGAUUGGAGCAAGCAGAAGAAGGUGCUGCUGACCCUUACCUGUCCAAAGCCUCGGGGGUCGGUCUCCUUCGCGCUGGUCAGACCUUGCCUUGUUUUCCAAAAAUUAAGUUAUUAUAUUGAAUUUUUGGGCGUAUAUAUAAAACAUUAAAUAUAAAUUAAAAAUAAUUAAUUAUAUAGUUUAUUGUAAUUUGUGAAAUAAAUUUUUUGAGCAUAGUUAGUCUAUAGUUGAAUAAUAAUUGUCAAAUACAAAUAAAAGUGUGACAUUAGUCGAACCUAAAAAAAAUUCCGCGAACUAUGACAUAAGCUAGCUAGUAUGAUAAUUUCAAGUGAAGAGGGUCGAGCUGCUCAUGACGGUGCCAUAAGCCGCCAAAUCUGACUAGCAGUGAGCAGCCGAGAAGUGUGAUGAGAUGAAAAAAAAAAUAUCCAUAAGCCGCCAAAUCUGACUGAGCAGUGAGAAGUGUGAUGAGAUGAAAAACAAAACAAAAUAUCCGACCUGCCGGAUUCGAACCAGCGACCUAAGGAUUUAACUGCGAAUACUACAGUCCUCCGCUCUACCAACUGAGCUAAGGUCGGUUUUGGACUAAGCAUUUUGUGUAUAUUAUAUCAUGGUUGGAAGCACCAUAUAUUCAACUAAUCAUCACAGAAACAAGGCUAGUGGCAAAGCUAUACUCCCUCCAUCUCACAAAUAAACGCAAUUCUAGCAAUGAAUCUGGACAUACAUAAUGUCCAGAUUCAUUGCUAGAAUUGCGUUUAUUUGUGGGACGGAGGGAGUAUAUGUAUUCUUAUGGGUACGCAUACACCCAUUGAAAAUAUAGAAUACUGUGAGUAGAAUCAAAUUUUUAUCAUGAUUAUGGCUCAAAUUAUCAUGUCUAUAAGGUAGGCGUACAUGACUAUUAUGCUUCAUGUUCGCAUACUUUUAAACUUUUUACUCCUGUUUAAUGAAAAACGUGUCAUCGCAUGGUCACCACAAAAAAAACAUUGUGCUCCGGCAGUGCCUUUGAACAUUGGUGUUCGCCAUCUAAGGCCUUGUUUAGUUCCAAAAAUUUUUGCAAAUGGACAUUAUAGUAUUUUUGUUUAUAUUUGACAAAUAUUGUCUAAUCAUGGACUAAUUAGACUCAAAAGAUUUAUCUCGUAAAUUAUAGACAAAUUAUGCAAUUAAUUAUUUUUUAUCUAUAUUUAAUGCUCCAUACAUGCAUGUUCCGCAAUAUUUGAUGUGGCAGGGACUGCUUCGUACACAUGUUUUAGCUUAGGAGACAUCGAGCGAAGAAAGAAAAUAGUAGAUGCUACCGCGACCACGAUGUGAGAAAAUGGAAACGAUUGGAUCGAUAUGGUUAAAAUGCAAGCAUGCCAUGAUAGGGCCAAGUAUGUGCGUAAACCAAUUUUGCAUUUUCCGAAUGAUUUUCGUAUGGAGCUGGUCCAGCACGCAGCACUUGUCACUGUCAUCUGUACCGUGUACAUCAUCCGGUUUGUUUCUUUCAGUGAAAAAGGAACCGCUCUACUACAAGCACGGAUGCCCACAUUUCGCUCGAGCCAGGCAGCCAGACUGCGCUCGUAAACGUGCUGACGGCGAGCUCCGGCCGGUCACCGGUGGAACGGUGCGCCACGGGCACGGCCGAACGCCGCCAUGCAUUGCCUCGCUCGAUCGUUCUGCAUCCGGCGGCGAUACGGUGUAAGUGUAAGCGGCCGCGAACGCGAACGUGAACGCGCAGCACUGAAGGCGGGCGUGACGUGCCGGCGGGACACGGACUUUCCGGCCGCUGUAGCGUCCGGCUGCACGCCAUACGCGGCCACGCACGUCGCCUCGGCCGAACGACACCGAUCAGUCUCAUGUGCCUGCACCUGCACGCGUGCACCGCCGGAGAGUCCCGUGACCUGCUCCCGCCCGUGAGGCGCCAGAUUCGGCGUUCUUGGCGCCCGCGCUGCGCCGCGUGCACCGCCGCGUUCGCGCCACACCCCCAAUGCCCAAAGAGACACGGGAGCACCCGUUCCCUACCCCGGCGCUCCACGCGUUCCCCCGGCCAUCCCUGCAAUCAAGCCUACAACCAGGGUAUAAAAUCUGCCACGCGCGGGCACAUGCAGAGCACAGGCGCGAUCGAGCUCGCGGUGAACAUCGAUAACUAUCACUGUACUCGAUCGACAGCAAACACGGCAAAAAAAAAAAAAGGCCAAGGUUCUGCAGUCUGCUGUUGCUCUCCUGCUGGUGGCAUCGCUGCUGCUGCUGCUAGCCCCUUGCGACGGCAGGGAGCUGAAAGCGAGCGGUGCGGCGGCAUCGGGCGGUGCCGCCAACGGUGGUAGUAGCAACGGCAGCGAGGAGAAGGCCACGGGGUUGCCGCUGAUCCCGCCGCUGCCGGUGCCGCUCCCGCCCGUCGUUCCUGGGCUCCCUCCGGCUCGCGAGUCCGAUAAGUCUCCGUGACCGUGCGCGGGCUAGGCUAAGCGUGGGCGCGGCUCCUGCUCAUGAGCCCAACAAGUUCAUGUCUUUGUCAUGUACCUUUCGUGGUUUCUAGCUACCUUGCAUUUUGUGUUUUGUGUGGUGAUGUAACAAAAUGCGCGUCAGAGAGUUUGUGCUUUUGAGAUAAUCAGAGUUUGCGUCGUCCCAGAGCAUUUCGUUGAUGUACACGGACCUUAAUUAAUCCACGUCUGCUGUUCGCAUCUAUUGAUGCUAUGCCCUGCGUUGUAACCACAAACCAGUAAGCAGUCAUAACUAUGCACGGCUCGUCUGCAUCGUAAGGAUUGGAUCCAACGUGAGGCUGUUCGAUUGAAAUCUGCCGACCAUUCAACAGUAUUUUACACAAAUUAGUUAACAUUACUUUCUGUUAUGAUUUAUCAGUCAAACAAACAUUACAAUAUUUAAAAGCAACCAAACAUAAACUAAUUUUAAAACUUAGGCCCUAUUUGAUUUCCUCUUAUAAACUCUAGUCCUUAUUAAAUAUAGACUAUUUAUAAAAUUUAAUUUGUGUGAUGACUUUUUCAAAUCUAAUUAGUUCAUAAUUAGAUAUUAAAUGUUAUAGUUACAAAUAUGCUAAGUACCUAUUAAACUUUAGUCCCUCUAACCAAACACCCCCUUAUUACAUGAGCGGUGGCUAAUUAGUGAGAUGAAUCUAUGAAUCCUAAUUAGCUUAUGUGGUACAGUAAACAUGGUCUAAUUAACUGAAAUCGGUUACCAUUUCGCCACCAAAAUUUUUGACAUCCGAUUUUAACGAAUUAACUGAUUGUCCAGGCCUACUUCCGAGGGAAGCACGGGCCACUUGAGUCACUAGCUCACUGCACAGCUACAGAUGUAUAUGCUUGUCCAAUUUUUAUACAUCAUGCUGGAUUUGCAAGAAUCAUAUAGCACAGGGCACCAUACACAUAUCAAUGAAAAAGUCUCAGUAACACCAAACAACCACUACAGAUACAGCAGAUUGAGCCCUACAAAUUCCAUGUUAUAGAUAUAGAUGCGGGAAUGCUGCCCACAAGUUUGUAUAUAACUCGCAUAACUUCUUUUUACAACUGUUCCCAUUCCCGCUCACCGAUGGCAAACUAUGAGUGUCCCCUCGCUCGUUUGCUCUCUGCGUCUUUUGGCUCGGGAGAUUGUUUUAAGUUAGGUCAUCCUCGUCCAAGGAUUCCUCGCCAUCAUCAGCUUUCUUAAUGGCCUGCAGAUCACCUGUCGGUAGCUUCCGUGCAAGCCUAAUUACCUGCAUUAAUGUACAGAACCAACUAUCACCACAAAUCCCAAGCCUAGACAGGCACCAACCAAGUAGUAUAGAAAUACAAUCAGGCAGGCAAACACAUCAGAAUGAAUGAAAACUGUUCUUGACUAGAGAAUAUAUGGGAUGAUUGAUGAUGCGGCAGUAAGACAAGUGCAGAAGUGCUAAACGGAAAUACAGUUAAUAAGGGUUUCUUCUCUCAUAAUAUUGGUUGUAUGAAUAAUGAAGGCUCCAUGCACAUCACUGCUGAAAUCGGUGAACAUCACAAACAGAAGAUACACCAUUUGUGCAGAUCACUACACAAUGCAGCAUGACUUCCCAAUAGAUUCAAGGCUCCUUGUGUAUAUGGAGAUUAGAAAGAACAGUUCUACAAAUGAUAUUCCUAACUCCUUGUUCGCCAUUUUAUGGAGAUGCAACACCAGAUGGCAACUUCUGAUCCAUUUAGACACUAUACCAUUGCUGAUACAAUUCAGCAUGCAUUGCUUUUUAUAGAGGAAAUGAAAAGAAUUACCACAUGGUCAAGGUGAUUGAAGGCACUUGAUUGAGCAAUGCGUUUGAUUUCUUCCGCAUCACCUUCCUCAUAAGCAGACAAUAGUUUUGUUGCGCAUCGAUUCUGGUCACUAUUGAGGAAGGCUUGAACCCUGUCAAAUGACAAUGAAAAGUUUCCGUUUAUGCUUCAUGGUUUGAUGGGGGGAAAAUAGCACAUGGCACAAAUAUAAUUAUAUAAAAUUUCACCAAUGUACAACUUACUCUGAGCAGUCAUUGUAGCAUUUCUGAGCUUGCUGAAAGUCAUGUGCAUAAAGAUAGACGAUGAUCGCACUCAGAUAAGCCUGAAUGCCAGAAACAAAUUUUGAAUCAGACAAGUUUUGUGUUCAAGACAUUCAUGACUAAGCAAGUUUUGUUUUCAAGACAUGAUCACAGAUAAAGCUGCAAGAUACAUAUAAUGUGCUAAUUUGUAAAGAUCUCAAUUCAAUAAUACACAUGGAGUUUCUGAAUAAUUAUGUAAGAACAUUUCAGUUAUCAGUUAGGAAAAAAAAAAGAUACCUUGCAUUGGCUAUUGAUGGCAUUGCACUUAUCAGCAGAUGAACCAAGUCUUAAAAAGAAGGCAGCGGCAUCUGAAUACCUGUCCAAUGGACAAAGAUGGGGGUGAAUUGUAAUACGGUCAUGUCAAAAGUUACUUGCAAUGCUAAGUGAUAACCUAUCAGUAUACAAGAGUUCCUAGGCGUUAGGUUCAGAAAACAAUUCAAGGUGUCACUUUAGGCCCUUAAUGUAUAUUCAAAACAUUGAAGGUGUCACUUACUUCACAUGUAAGAACGAUGAAGAAUGAACAUCAAAAUGUUCCAAGGAAAUCAUGAAUGAGAUAGCAUAGAGAUGCAAAGGUGAGGCUAUAGAUCGAAAUUAAUAUAAGCAAGCAUCAAG